rnacentral:lncRNA from 1 species
UUUUUUUUUUUGUUCUUUACAACGCUUACUUUAUUAGUAAACUAAUAUAUUUUUCUAGUAAAUUAAUUUCAUAUUUUUUUUCAAAUAAAUAAACUAAAAUUGAAGAAGAGCAAUAAGUAGCUAGAGCUUUUAUAUGAUCAAAAUGACGUGAAAAACGAAAGAAAUAAAUAUAUAUAUAUUUUUAUUAAAACAUGUUAUUUAUUUUUUGCGUUAAGAUAAGUUUAACUAAAAUUAUAAAAAAAAUUAAUGGUAAACUAUUAUAAAUGUAACAUUUUAGGGAGAACGAAAUAAACAAAAUAUUAUUUUUUCUUGACUUAUAAUAAUAACGAUAAUAAAUAUAUGGUUAAAAUAUUACUUGAAAAAAUUAUAAAAGAAUCAUAAAAAAUAAUUAAUCAAUUGUAAUUAUUUUUCCAUUUAGGCUGAGUAAAAUAACUUAGAAUCAUUAAAAAUAAGAUAAAAUUGUAAAAAUUUCACCUUAGGAAUAUAAGACGGAUGAUUAUCUUAUAUGAGUAUAUUGAUACCAUUUGUUUUUAGAGUAUAAUAAAAUAAUAAUUAAAUAAUUAAAAAAGGCAUUUUUCAUCAUCUUACAUCCGCUUGUGAAGUUUUUUUUUACUUCACUAGCAGUGGACCAAAUAAUUACCUAUAAAACAUUACCUAAUAAAGAAAUGGUAAUGAAAUUACUCCAACAUAUAUUUUAGAAUAUUGUCACUAUUGAGAAUAUAAUUUUGGAAUUCAAAUUAGGAAGGGUAAACUAUACAAAUGGUCACCCAACUAUUUUCAUGUUCUUAUUUUAGUUAUUCAACUUUAAAAAUUUUUAAUUUAAGCACUAACGCUUGGAUUUGUUCUUGUUUAGGUCACUCACCAUUAAAUUGAUAACGAAAAGCCUUUUUUUAACUAAUACAAUAACACAUGUAGUCUUCAAUACUUUGCAUAUUCUAUCAAUUUGAUCCUAAUUCCAAAUAAUUUAAUAAAUUUAACCCUUCACAUUUUCAAAUUCUAUCAAUUUAAUUCUCAAACUUCCUAGCCAAAACUUUUAGCUUUUAAAAUAGAGUCAUUUCAUAUUUAUAAAGUUGUAAAACUCAAAAAAGAAAAACAAAAUUCUCUUAACUAAUAAGUUGUUUUCCGAGCCAAUUCUUGAUACCAAUGAGUUUAUCUUGAAACUUUAUUUUUUUUCAUUAAUUUUCUUCUAAAUAUAAUAUUUUAUAACAUUUUGAUUGAUAAAAAUUUGGCUAAAGAAAGUGGAAAAACCUUAAUAAAACACUUUAGAUUUACUAUUGUUAACAAUAUGAUAUUUCCUUCAAAGUACAUAGAAAUAGUCCUCAAAGUUGGUUAUUGAAAUUGGAAACUCAAUCUAGAGUUAAAAAAUAUGACUUUGAAAAUUUUAAAUAUGACUUAUAUAAGAAAAAAUUAUGAACAUUUAAAUUUUCAUAAGAAAAAAAUGCAAAAGAAUUAAUUGAAUUUCCUUUUGUUACAUUCAUAAUUAUUUUUUUAAUUUUAUAAAUUGAUUAAGAGAUUAUUAUGUGUUCUAUUUGUUUUUAACUUUUAAAUCCAUAAUAGGCAAUACGUAUCACUAAUAAUCCGAUUUAGUGUCAAAUCAUUUACUAAAUUAAUUAAAAACUAAAAUUAUGCUAGUCAGAGUAAAAAAAUUAUUUUUUACAAAUAUUAAAUUAUUUAUAUAAUUUUAAAAUUUAUAUUCUCUAUUAUUUUUAAUGGUGUUUAGUUAAUUUCUAACACUAACUUCUUAAAAAUAUAAACAAAAGGGGUUAUGUACCGAAUUAGAUAAUUUCAACCAUAGAGAAAACAAUUAAUAGAUGUGGAAUGUCUUUGUUUUAAAAUCUGAAAGCUUUGGUUUGGAAGUUUGAGGAUGAAAUUGAUAGAAUUUAUAAAUGUGAAGGGUUAAAUUUAUUGAAUUAUUUAGAAUUAGGAUCAAUUUGAUAGAAUAUGAAAGUAUUGAGGACUAAAUGUGUUAUUAUACCAGUUAGAAAAAGGCUUCCGUUAUCAAUUUAACAACAGGUGACCAAAAUAGUAAAAAAUUCAAAUUUUAGUGCCUAAAUUGAAAAUGAUUAAAGUUGGGUAACCAAAACAUGAACACGAACAUAAUUGGGUGACUAUUAUUAGAAUUUACCCAAUUAAGAAAUGUUAUUCUGAAUUUUUUUGGUGAAUUACAAUAACAAAGUAAAGUCUGAAAAAUAAAUACGACUAACGCAAUUUGAACUCAGACUACACCUAGGGCGGUCAAACACCUGGAAUGUACGACUACUUUUAACCUAAAUGCUAUUGAACAAAAUUAACAACUCGUUGAAUGUUUGAUGUAUAUUUUCACCCUAAAAUGCAACGAUUGGAUAAAUUUUGAAUGGAAACUGAUUUGGUAUUUUCAACUUUUCAUUAUAAUAUUUAUUCCAAAAAGAGUUUUAUAUAUUUAGGAAUUUAUAUAUAUUGGUUUAAAAUAAACUUGAAAUGCUGCUAAAGAUAAAAGAAGAAGUCAAGAAACAAUUUGAUGCGGGCUUCUUACAAGUCUCAAAAUAUCCAGAAUGGGUAGCUAACAUAGUCCCAGUACCAAAGAAAGACAGCAAGGUACGAAUGUGCGUGGAUUAUCGCGAUCUGAAUCGAGCAAGCCCUAAGGAUAAUUUUCCUUUGCCACACAUCGAUACGUUGAUAAUUUUCCUUUGCCACACAUCGAUACGUUGGUGGAUAAAACAACAAAACAUUCUUUAUUUUCUUCUAUGGAUGGUUUCUUGGGUUAUAAUCAGAUAAAGAUGGCUACCGAAGAUAUGGAGAAAACCACGUUCGUGAUAAUGUAGGAAACGUUUUGCUAUAAGGUGAUGCCAUUUGGAUUGAAGAAUGCUGGGGCAAUAUAUCAGAGAGCCAUGGUGAUGCUACUCCAUGACAUUAUACACAAAGAAAUAGAAGUUUAUGUCGAGGAUAUGAUUGCCAAAUCUCGAGAAGAAAAAGAGCAUGUUGGGAACCUUAGGAAGCUAUUCGAAAGAUUAAGAAAGUUCCAGCUGAAGCUUAACCCAACCAAGUGUACGUUUGGGGCUACCUCGAGAAAAUUGCUAGGUUUCAUUGUCAGCGAGAGGGGUAUUGAGGUCGAUCCAGAUAAGAUAAAGGCCAUACAAGAACUGCCACCUCCGCUUACACAAAAAGAAGUCAGAGGAUUUUUAGGAAGGUUUAAUUACAUUGCUCGAUUCAUUGCUCAACUUACCAACCAGUGUGAUCCAAUUUUUUGACUCAUUCGAAAGAACAAUCCGGGAGAAUGGAACGAGCAAUGCCAAGUGGCCUUUGAUAAGAUAAAAUAGUAUUUGUCUAAUCCUCCAGUGCUAAUACUGUCGACCCCUGGAAGACCAUUGAUAUUAUAUCUGACCUUGUUCGAAAACUCAAUGGGUUGCGUACUAGGGCAACAUGAUGAGUUCGGGAAAAGAGAAAAGGCGAUUGAUUUACUACCUCAGCAAAAAGUUUACAAAAUAUGAGGCAAAGUAACCGUCAAUUGAAAAUUCUAGAUGUAUAUGAGGACUUAGCAUUGGUGAUUUAUCAAAUUCGGUGAGAUUGGGAAGUGAAGGAUUCGAAAUUAGUCAAAUAUCGCAAUCUCGUUAUGGAACUGGUCAAAGAAUUCAAAAAAAGUGACUUUUAACUACCUCCCACGAGAAGAAAACCAAUUGGUUGACGCCCUAGCCACCUUGGCUUCAAUGUUUAAAGCAAACAGAGAAACUGAAAUAAUGCCUAUCCAAAUAAGUAUAUAUGAGGUCUCUGCACAUUAUUUUAGCAUUGAGAUGGAGUCAGAUGGACGACCAUGGUUCCAUGAUAUUUUAGAGUAUAUCAAGAAUCAAAGGUAUCCCGAGCAAGCAAACGAGAAUGACAAAAGAAUAAUCAGGAGAAUGGUGGUUAAAUUUGUUCUUGAUAGGGAUAUCCUAUACAAAAGAAGAAAAGAUCAAAUGCUCCUGAGAUGUGUAGACGAUGUUGAAGCCAGAAGAAUACUUGAAGAUGUCCAUGAAGGAAUUUGUGGAACGCAUGCCAAUAGUUUCACUAUAGCUAAGCAGAUUAUGAGACUUGGUUAUUUUUGGCUGACGAUGGAAAGGGAUUGCAUUAGUUUCGCACGGAAAUGCCACAAGUGUCAAAUUUACAGCUAUAAAAUUUAUACAGCUCCUUCGCCCCUUUAUGUCAUGACUUCUUCGUGGCCUUUUUCUAUGUGGGGCAUGGAUGUUAUAAGGCCAAUUUCCCCGAAGGCUUCUAAUGGACAUCGAUUCAUAUUUGUGGUUAUAGAUUACUUCAUAAAAUGGGUAGAAGCCGCUUCGUUUACUUCACAAAAUGGGUAGAAGCCACUUCGUUUGCCCAUGUGACGAAGACUGCAGUUUGCAAGUUCAGAAAAAAGGAGAUCAUAUGUCAAUAUAGUUUGCCUGAGUAAAUUAUUUCAGAUAAUGCUUUGAAUCUGAACAACAAAAUGAUGAAAGAAGUGUGUGAGCAAUUUAAAAUAAAGCAUCAUAAUUCCUCACCCUAUCGCCCGAAAAUGAACGAAGCAGUAGAAGUAGCCAACAAAAACAUUAAGAGGAUUAUCGGGAAGAUGACUGAGACUUAUAAAGAUUGGCACGAGAAGCUACAAUUUGCUUUGUAUGCAUACCGCACCUCUAUACGGACAUCUACGGGAGCAACUCUUUUCUCCUUGGUCUACGGGAUGGAAGCCGUUCUGCCUAUCGAAGUGAAGAUCCCAUCCUUACGCGUCUUGAUGGAAUCAAAAUUAGAAGAAUCAGGGUGGGUUCGAGCUCGAUAUGAUCAGUUAAACCUUAUUGAAGGGAAACACUUGAAGGCAAUUUGUUAUGGACAAAUGUACCAAAAGAGAAUGAUCACGACCCAUGGUAAAAAGGUGCGACAAAGAGAAUUCCACGAAGGGGAGCUUGUACUAAGAAAGAUACUCCUGAUACAAAAAAACUUUCGAGGAAAAUGGUUACGAAAUUGGGAAGGGUCAUACGUUGUAAAAAAGGCAUUUUCGGGAUGGCUCUGAUUCUCACUGAGAUGGACGGGAAAGAAUUACCUAAUCUAGUGAACUUAGAUGCUGUAAAGAAAUAUUUUGCCUAAAAAAACAAAAAAAUAAAAAAAUCAAGAUGAAAACCCGAAAAAGGGCGUCUUGAUAAACAAUGAAGAUUAGGAUGAAAACCCAAAAGGGCGUCCUAAUGAAGCAGGUUCAGACUUAAGGAGCAAGACGACUUGAACAAGGAGUUGAAUGACGAAGUCACAAUAUUUGAAGCAUUCUCAGAAGCUCGAAAUCUUCUACACAGGAAGCCAUCCUCAAAAAGAUUAUUGACAAAGAAACGUGGAGAAGUUCAUGUGUUAGAUAUCUAGAGCAUUUGUGGUCAUUGAAUUCGCUUUCCUUUCUUUAUGAUGCUUUCUUUAUUUGAACUACUCCUUAUUAAUUUUCUUUGUUUGCUACUUUAAAAAAAAUGAAUGUGAGGUAUUUCUUUCAUGCCUAUUUGCCUUUUUUUUCUUGUAGCUCGUGUUUGAUUCAUUUAAAUGAUAACUAGUAAGAUAACGUACUUUAAACAAAAGGAAUAUUGAACAUUACCUGGAUGAGAAUUUGACAAGUACAAGAACCCCAAAGCAAGAACAAAGUUCAACAAGGGGGCAGGAAUGUGAUAUACGAAAAAUGUGGGUUACUCGCAAAACUUGAGGAGAAAAGUACAAAACUAGAGAGAAAAGUCAAAGAUUGAAGCAAUGAAUGCAGUCCCUCAUAAAAAAAGGGGCACGUGACAAAUAGCCCAGGUUGCAUGGCAUAAUCAUGUAGACAUAAAAGCAUUUAGGACAAACAUGUGCAUAUCAUAAUAACAUCAUACAUGACAUAUAUAGGUAUACCAAUAGAGCAAGGAAUUUUGGGAGAAAACUGUACAGAAUCAAUGAAAAAGAAGGUUUUUAUUUUCACCCGAUGUUUGUUCCGAAACACUGAUUCUUUUAAGAAUUAUUUGUUUCAAUUUCUAUUUUUUUUUCAAAAAUAAACUCAUAAUACGAGAGGUGAGUUGAGCAUCGGGCCACACGCCGAGGUAUUUUCAAUUUUUGUUUUUUCAAAAAAUCAACUCAUAAUGCGAGAGGUGAGUUGAGCCUUGAGUCACACGCCGAAAGUUAUUUCAAUUUAUGUUUUUCAAAAAUCAACUCAUAUUGCGAGAGGUGAGUUGAGCCUCGGACACAUGUUGAGGUAAUUUUUAAAUUUCUGUUUUUCAAAAAUCAACUCAUAUUGCUAGAGGUGAGUUGAGCCUCGGACACAUGCCGAGGUAUUUUUUAAAAUUUCUAUUUUUUCAAAAAUUAACUCAUAAUGCGAGAGGUGAGUUGAGCCCCGAGCACACGCCGAUGUAUUUUUCAAUUUCUGUUUUUUCAAAAAUAAACUCAUAAUGUGAGAGGUGAGUUGAGCCUCGGGUCACGUGCCGAUGUAUUUUUAAUUUCUAUUUUUGUCAAAAAUCAACUCAUAAUGCGAGAGGUGAGUUAAGCCUCGAGCCACACGCCGAGUUAUUUUUCAAUUUAUGUUUUUCAAAAAUCAACUCAUAAUGCGAGAGGUGAGUUGAGCCUCGGGCCACAUGCCGAGGUAUUUUUUUAAUUUUUGUUUUUCAAAAAAUCAACUCAUAAUACGAGAGGUGAGUUGAGCCUCGGGUCACAUGUAGAGGUAGUUUUUAAUUUAUGUUUUUCAAAAAAAAUAACUCAUAAUGCGAUAUGUGAGUUGAGCCUCGGGUCACACGCCGAGGUAUUUUUCAAUUUAUGUUUUUUUAAAAAAAUCAACUCAUAAUGCGAUAGGUGAGUUGAGCCUCGGGUCACGUGCCGAGGUAUUUUCAAUUUCUAUUUUUCAAGAAUCAACUCAUAAUGCGAGAGGUGAAUUGAGCCUUUGGCCGCACGCCGAGGUAUUUUCAAUUCAUGUUUCAAAAAAAAAAAUCAACUCAUAUUGCGAGAGGUGAGUUGAGCCUUGAGUCACAAGCUGAGGUAUUUUUUAAUUUUUUUUUCAGAAAUCAACUCAUAAUGCGAGAUGUGAGUUGAGCCUCGGGCCACACGACGAGGUAUUUUUAAUUUUUGUUUUUUCAAAAAAUCAACUCAUAUUGCGAGAGGUGAGUUGAUCGGGCACAUGCCAAGGUAUUUUUUUAAAUUUUUUUUUCAAAAAAUCAACUCAUAAUGCGGAAGUGAGUUGAGCCUCGGGUUGCAUGCCGAGGUAUUUUCAAUUUCUGUUUUGUCAAAAAAAAUCAACUCAUAUUGCGAGAGGUGAGUUGAGCCUUGGGUCACAUGCCGAGGUAUUUUUUAACUUCUGUUUUUCAAAAAUAAACUCAUAAUGCGAGAGGUGAGUUAAGCCUUGGGCCGCAUGCCGAGGUAUUUUCAAUUUCUGUUUUUUUGAAAAAAUCAACUCAUAUUGUGAGAGGUGAGUUGAGCCUCGGGUCACACGUUGAGGAAUUUUUUAAUUUCUGUUUUUCAAAAAUCAACUCAUAAUGUGAGAGGUGAGUUGAGCCUAGGGCCGCACUCCGAGGUAUUUUCAAUUUCUGUUUUUUCAAAAAAUCAACUCAUAUUGCAAGAGGUGAGUUACGCCUCGGGUCACAUGCCGAGUUCUUUUUCAUUUCUGUUUUUUUCAAAAAUCAACUCAUAAUGCAAGAGGUGAGUUGAGCCCUGGGUACACACUGAGGUAUUUUUCAAUUUUUGUUUUUUCAAAAAUCAACUCAUAAUGUUAGAGGUGAGUUGAGCCUCGGGUCACAUACCAAGGUAUUUUUCAAUUUCUGUUUUUCAAAAGUCAACUCAUAAUGCGAGAGGUGAGUUGAGCCUCAGGCACAUGCCGAUGUAUCUUUCAAUUUAUGUUUUUUCAAAAAAAAAACGAACAAAAUUCAGUGUUUUUAAGUCUUCGCUCUAUCCUUGUUUCACAGCGAUAAGCAAAUAGGGGCAACAGUAAUCACUGAAUUUUGUCCGAGUCAAAUUUCGUUUUUUUUUCAAAAUUACAUUUUGAAAAUAAACACAUUUGAAAAUAAACACAUAAACUUAGAUAUAACGUAAAAAAACCUAUUGAACAUAGAUAUAACGUAAAAAAAACUAUUGAAAAAAGAAUACAAAUAAUAAAUUUGAAAGCUCUUUUUAUAAUUUUUAUAGAAUUCAACAUCUUAUAUUCAUAGAAUUUUUAAAAGAAAAAUCAUAAACUUUGUCAUCAAGUUUGACCAAAUCAAGAUUCUACAUGCUAUUUCAUCCUCAUGGAUGCCAAUAAUUCAAUUAAAUCAAAACAAAAAAUUUAUACGUAUAAUUAAAUUAAAAUUAAUAUAUCACAUUACACACUAAAUUAACGUUAAUAUAUAAAUAUAAUAUUAAUCCUUUUUUAAUAAAAUAGAAAAUAGAAAUUGCUGUUAAAAUAUUGGAGUUCAAACAAGGUGGCUGGAAAGUAUUAUCAAAAUAACUUAUUUUGUAACGUGAUCAAUAUAAUAUAUCAUCAACAAGUAUUGUUGAUUGAAUAUUAAAUCAAUUGAUAUCAAUAUCGUUUAUGUUAAUAUAAAAGUCAAAAUACAUUUUACCCAAAAAAAUUAAUAGGGUAUCCCUCCAUACUGACAUCACUACAGAAGAAAACAAACCAAAAAUAUUUAUAAAGUUAAGAAGAUGAGUUUUGACUGGAAGUAUUGGGCAGGUUGGUACCGGCCGGCAAGGGAACGCCAUUGUUCUGGUGCUGCCAUUCCUAUAUCCUUUGGAGCCAACGUAAGAGAUUGAAGAAGCCCCCAUAAAAUAAUGGAGAUUCCGCUGCCUUGAAUCAAAUACACUACACAAUGAUGCACAUGGCAGACCCCAAGUGUCCCCUCCCACCAAUUUUUUUAAUAACAAAAUAACAAGUACGCCAUGCUUUAUUAAUUCUCUUUAUUAUAGUUUAUUCAAAAUUUCCCCCCUAACCAUGGCAUAAAUAAUAAUAAUUUUUACCUAUUUCAUUUUCUUUAAGGUGAUUAAUAUAUGUUUCGUAACCAGGUUAAGUUGGGUAUGUGUUAAUUCGUGUUGAAAUCGAUUUUUAGCCCGGUUGAAUGUACAACUACUUUUAACCUAAAUGCUAUUGAACAAAAUUAACAAUUGUUUGAAUGUUUGAUGUAUAUUUUCACCCUAAAAGGCAACGAUUGGAUAAAUUUUGAAUGGAAACUGAUUUGGUAUUUUCAUCUUUAUAUAUAUUGAUUUAAAAUAAAUCUGAAAUAAUUUUGAUUUCAAUUAAAAUUAUAAAUUAAAAUAAUAAUUUAAAAUGAUCAAUUAAUAUAUGAUUAGAUUUUUAAUCCAAAAAAUUAUUAUUACAGUUAAUUUAUUGUAAAAUAUUAAAUACAUUAAUAUUAUUUUAAUUUAGUAAGGAUAAAUUUGUAAAUUAUUAUUACUUUUUUAGAAAAUUAUUUAGUGAAUCAAACGUAAUAAUAAAACAUUCUAAGGAUUUUUAAUCAACGCAUCUCGAUUUAUACCAAACGUUGCAAAGUAACUUUCCUAGCAAUCACAUCCUAAAGAAUCACAUUUUGCUAGAAUCAUAACAUGGGAAAACACCAAAUGCUACCUAAUAUUAAAAUAAAUAAAAUAAAACUGAAUUAAUGAAAAAUAUUUUCCAUUAAGUGGUAAGUAGCUCUUAUUUACUUAUCAUUUUCCACAUGUUUAUUUUGUAAAAAAAUUUCUACCUAAUUGCUUUUGUUUUAGAUUAUCAAAUAUGUGUAAAAAAAUUAAAUCAUUGGAAAAAAUUAUUUUCAUAUUUGCGUUGUUAACAAUUAUUGAAUAAUAUUUAUGGGUUGUGCUGAGCAUAUGGAUGAUAUUUAACCCAUCAAUAAAAAUCAUAUCACUUUAGGAAACAUAUUUUGCAGAUUGGAUCGAAUCAGAUUACCCUAUCAAAUCCCUUGGAUCGUGGAUAUUGGAUUGAAUUAGAACACUGAUUACUUAGCUGUGAGGAGUCCAUGUUUACAUUGUACUUUAUUAUUAUAUUAUAUUACAUUCAACUUAUCUUAUUGUUAUUUUAUAGGGAUUAAUAUAGAUUUCUUUAUGUUAGCAAGUCUCAAAAUAUUAUAUAUUUAAUUGAGACUUGUAUACGUCACUGUAGUGAGAGAUUUAAGCACUUAAUCUAUCAUUGUGAGGAACUUUAUUUUCUUAGGAACACAUAUAAGAUUCGUCACUACAAACAGGAUAAUGGUAACCCCACGAUUAAUUACUUCAUUUAUGAAUUUCAUAGUAAUAGAAAUACAUGUCCUACCGGAACAGAAUUUGUAACUUGCUAUCCACUUACCUAGCGGGCAAGGAUUUACCUCCAUGGAAAAGAUGAUUCAUUCGGAUCCGCAUGAAAGCCCAACUCCAUUGCAUUGCCAUAAUCCAUUACAGAUCAAUAGGUUUUGUUUUCUAAAUUCAAUUUGAGUAGAUACUAAACAUAAGAUAAGUAAGUGGAGAAUAGAAAGGAAGGAUAAAUGAGGGGAACAAAUAAUUACAGGGAGUAUUCUUCGUCUUUCUAGCCUUCGACACAAGAAAAGGAAUUUUACACACCCUUUUCUUGUGUCGAAAUAAUAACAAUUCUGGGACCCGUUCGUCAAAGAUUUCUAUUCUUAAUUUCGAUUUUUCUAGAUUUUUCAAAACCCUUUAUUUUUUCAAUUGUUUGUGGUUUUUCUUGCUGAAUUCACAUGGGUGAAUUUAGUGGUAAGAAUAUCAUUCUUCAAAGCGUAAAAUAUAAAUGUUGAAAUAAUGAAUAUUUCUCACUAAGUUAGACUCUCCAGACAUAGUAAAUUGAAUUGCGUAAACAACUCGUGUCUUCUAUUAGUUUAUUGUUUUACUUGUAGUAGUGAAGAAGUGCACACCCCCUUGUCACUUGUUUUAAAUACUUAGCUUAUUUCUUAGCAACAGUUUUAAAAUUUCAAUUGGUACCAGAGUCUUGCCACUUAAAAUAGUUAGUUUUAACAUUAAAUUUUGAAAAAAUAAAGACAAUUUGUAUUUAAUAAGAUAUCCAUUUUAAAUGCUGUGAAGGUACUAAAACUUUUUUCGCACCUAAUUAACUUCUGAUUCUGUAAAAUUUUUUAUUUCCAAAAUAUUGACUAAUUUUUUCAUUUAAAAAGAUGAUUUUAUAAAUUUCUAAAAACACAUAGCCAAAAAAAGAAAAAUUGAUGAUAACACUUAUUAUAAUUAAACCCUUGUGUUUUUCAACAUUGAAAUUUCAAAAAAUGUUCUAAAAUUGUUAAUCUAUUUUUUUAAUUUUAAUUGAAAAUUGAUUACGACUCAAGUAAUUCAAAAUUACUCAAAUUUAGAUUUCAAAAUUGAACAUGAAAUCCUCGAUUUGAAAAUUUAAUUGACAAACUCGAAUGAUUCAAAUUUGGAUUGUCCUAAAUUUGAAAUGAUCAGAAAACAAAACUAACCGAACCUAAAAUAUAAACUUAAAAUUUAAUUUCUCUAUGUAAGUUCAAUAUCUCAAUUGAGUAAAAAAAUCAUGAUUAUUUGAACCAAAUUGAAUUGGUUAAACAAGAAUAAAAAUCUGGUUAAGUCUAUGGUCGGAUAUUUUGAAAAUGAAAAUUGGAUUAAUUGAUUUUUUUUUUAGAGGUUAUGAUUAAACCAAAUUUCAGAGCCUGAAGACUAUAUGAGGCCAAGUUCAGCCAAGUCAUUCAUAGUUGCUUUUAUCCUCUAAUUAAAUCUCCUAUAUAAAAUCAUGUCUACUUUCUUAUCACUUCCACUAUUUUUUUAUUGUGAAUCAUCAUCUUUUUUCUCUAGCUCCCCCUGGAAUGUUGCAGACAGCUUACACCUUGUAUCCAUGGCUAUUAGAUUUGAGCAAGCCGAAAGAUGGACUCUUUCGAGCUGGCUUAUCCUUUGUCAUGGUCAUACUUGCAAUUUCACUUUGGCACCUAUGGUUCGUUAAGAAGUCCAAGAAGAUCGUCGCUCAGUUGCCGCCAGGCCCUCGAGGGUUGCCGACAGUGGGAUAUCUUCCAUUUCUUGGAACCGAUAAUCUUCACCUGUCCUUCACCGAACUGGCUGCAACCUAUGGUCCCAUCUUCAAACUUUGGCUUGGCAACAAGCUAUGUGUCGUAAUUAGCUCACCGGAACUAGCAAAAGAAGUGGUUCGUGACCAUGAUGUAACAUUCUCUGAACGAGAUCCACCCAUUGCUGCACAAGUUGCUAGCUUUGGUUGCAAUGAUAUUGCAUUCGAUUCUUCCAGCAAUCCUCGAUGGACAAACAAACGUAAAGUUCUAGCAACCGAGUUGCUUACCAAUGCUAGGCUGAAUGCUUGUUAUGGUCUACGAAGAGAACAAGUAAUGAAUGGCCUUAAAGAUGUGUAUGAAAAUGUUGGCAGGCCAAUUGAUAUUGGGAAAUGGACAUAUUUAGUGGCAUUAAAUGUGGCCAUCAGCAUGAUUUUGGGAGGUGAACUCCCAGGUGAGAAAGGGGCGGCCAUCGAAGGUAACUUGAAAGAGAAUUCGUCUGAAUCAAUGGUGUUACUGGGAAAACCGAACGUCUCCGAUAUUUUUCCGGCGAUUGCACGGUUUGACAUACAAGGUAUUGAGAGGGGAAUGAGGAAAAUCAACCAACAGUUCAAUCGACUUCUUGAAUCUGUAAUUGAAAUGGCCAUUGAUAAGGAAAAAGAUGAGAAGAGUAGUGAACAAAAAUUAGGCUUCUUAGAGCUGCUAUUGCAUUUGAAACGCAAUAACAACGAAGAUAAUGCAUCACCUCUUACAAUGGAUGAAGUCAAGGGUCUGCUCGUGGUAAGUGGUGAAUUUGGUUUUCAUUUUUUUAAUUUGUUAGAUAUUUAUUUAUUUAUUUUUGGAAUUGAAAUUUUUUUUUGAAUAUUACACUAAAAAUAACUAAUAGCAGAAAUUUACUCUUGUAUAAAAUAGAAUAUUAACAACUUUCAUGUUAAAACAAGUUAAUUUAACAAUCUUUAAUAUAUAUAAGCAUGAAUUUUAAGAAAUUGAACUAAUAAAGAUACCCUUUAUUGUUAAAUAUAUUAUUAAAUUGACAUUAAAAUAAUAAUUUAUUAAUAUUAUUAUGUGAUAAUAAUAAAAAUUAUUAUGAUAGUGUAUUAAUGUGAAAUUAAUUAAUUUGAUCAUAUCUUUUAAAAGUUCUAGUUAAAAAAUAAUAUAAUAUAUUAUUAAUUAAUAAAAUUAUAAAUCUAUAAAAUCAUUGAAAUAAUUGGAUAAAUUAAAAAUAAAAACCAAGUUUUUUAAUUAAAUAAAUACAAUUUAUAUAUAAAUAUGGUUUUAUUUUAAAUAGGUUAAUAAAUGAUAAUUUUAAAAUCAUUUUUUAUAAAAUUAAUAAAAACUAAAUGUGCGGGACAACCAUUAUAUAUAUAUAAAUAAUAUAAAUAUAUUGAUAAUAUAAUCUACAAUUUAUUUAUUUAUCCUUAAUUUAUAUGUAAAAACUCAAAAGAAAAUAAAUAUAUUUUAUAAUUAAAUUAAAUAUUUUUUUUAUAAAUAUUAAUUGCAUCUAAUUAAAUUUAUUCAAUUCAACACAAAUCUCAACUCAACAAAUAGUUUGACUCAUAUCUAUUUAAGAAAAUAAGAUGAAGAAAGUCAAUUAAUUAAAAUUUAGUAUAUUGCAUUAUCUAUGUUUCUUAAUAUUAUUAUUUUUUUAAAAAGUUAUAAAAUAAUUAUAAUUACCUAUACCAAUUAAAACUAAUUUUUAGCACUAUAAAUAUAUGUAUUGGUAAGAUAUUUUCAUUUAAAAUAAUAUCUACAGAGUUAAAUGAAAAAAAAUAAAAUUUUAGUGUUAUGUACUUAACAUAUGAACUAGUAUAUAUAAAAUAAAUAAAUUAUAAAAAAUAUUAAUAUAAUUAUUUAAAUUUUAAUAAAUUGAUAUUAAUAUUCAAACUAUGAUAAAUUUUUGUAUUGUUUUAACAUUAAAUAAUAUUAAUAUAAGUUAAUUAAAUAUUUUUUAAAAAUAUUUUGUAAUUAUAUUAUUAUUUUUCAAUUCAUUAAUGAUUUUAAACAAAAUUUAAUGUUUUAAAAAUAUUAUAAAAUUAAUAUACCCAACCGACUACGAAAAUAAAAAGUAAUUACUAUAUAUAUAAUAUACCCUUUAUCUUUGCAUAAUAUACCCUUUUAUCUUUGCUUUCUAGUUUGGGUAAUUAAUGCUAUUAAUUUUGAACUUUUAGGAUAUAUUGGUGGGUGGGACAGAUACUACUACAACUAUGGUAGAGUGGACAAUGGCAGUGCUAAUGCAACAUCCAGAAAUAAUGGAGAAAGUGAAGAAAGAAUUAAGUGAUGUUGUUGGGGUAAACAACACCGUUGAAGAGUUUCACUUGUCUAAUUUAAGUUAUCUAAACGUUGUGAUAAAGGAAACCUUCCGACUGCAUCCAGCACUACCGCUCCUUGUUCCUCGAUGUCCGGCCCGAUCCGUCCAUCUCAACGGCUAUACCAUACCAAAGGGCAGUAGGUUGUUCAUAAACAUGUGGUGCAUUCAUAGGGAUCCUGGUAUUUGGGAGAAUCCUUUAGAAUUUCGACCAGAAAGAUUCUUAAAUGAUCCCGAUAAUUCAAAUCAUUAUGGAAAUGAUUUUCGGUUCAUGCCAUUCGGGUCCGGAAGGAGAAAGUGCCCAGGAAUACCCUUAGGGGAGAAGCUAUUGUUUUUCAUAUUGGCUUCAUUGUUGCAUUCUUUUGAGUGGAGAUUGCCACACGGAAUAGUGCUUGACAUGUCCGGCAAAUUUGGAAUUGUUAUGAAGAAAAAGGAACCUAUACUUCUUAUUCCUACACCAAGAUUGACAAAUCUUGAUGCUAAUGGUUAAAAAUGCAAAAAAGACGAUGAUUGAAUCUCUUAUCCGCACUUUAAUAAUUAAAUUUAGAAUUUAUUAAUGUAUCUCCUUGUUUUAUAUUUAAUGCGUUUUAAACUAUAAUUGUCUUUUUAUGUUGUAGGUAUCCAAUAUGGCAUUGAUAUUGGAUAUUUUGGUAAUAAAGCGCAUAUAUUACAUUGAAUUUAAUUCGAAAAAAAAUCAAAAAAUAAUUUGAAUUAAGACGAUUUGGAGAUUUUUUAAAAUAGAAAUUAUAAUUGUAAUUAUCUAAAUCAAAUCAAAUUUUAAUUUUAUUAAUUUAUAAUGAAAAACAAAUUAAUUAAAAAUUAAUAUUUUCAAUGAUUUAAUUUUGUUGGAACUUACCGUAAACAUUAAGUUUUGUCGAGGCUUACAAUCUCAAUUUCGACUUGAUUUGACUUCAAUUUUAAAUAGUUUUCAAUUUAAUUUUGGCAUCAAAUGGGGUAGAUAUUUGGAUAUCUACUUGUGUUUUUUUGGAAAAAUAAUAAUAAAAUCAAAGUUUUAUUUUAAAUAAACUAAAAUUAUGUUUUUAGAAAAUAAAAAAAAAAUCAUGUCGGGGAUUGGGUGAAAGAUCAUUUAAAUUCAAAGGCCAAAAUGUUUUGUUUUCCAAGCACAAUUUUUAAUGUUAAACCAAAUUGGUUUUAGUCUAGUCGGAGGCCAAAUUAGGAACAAUAUCAAUAUCAAUCCCUUUUAUUUCCCAUUUGCUUCAGAUUUUGAAAUCUUGAGUGGUAAAUUUGCCAAUUAGGCCUCUUUGCCUUUUACAUUUUUUGAUUAUGGUCAUGCUAACAGUACUUUAUACACUGGAUUACAAUUUGUGGAGGAGAUGACAUCAUUAUUUGAUGAGAAAUUGUGCUAUAAAAAGAAGAUUUAAUCACUUUACUUUCAUGGAAUGUUGAACUCAAUGCUUCUUUUUUCAAAAGAAAUGGUUGUGCCUACACAAGCAGUUGAAGUAACACAUGAGCCAUAUCAUCAAUAGUUGAGAGAUGUAUUUAAGGUAAUAAAUUACUUAUUAUAUGAUUAUAUCUUAUUUAUUUAUUAUAAUAAUAUUUUUUCUUAUUAAUUGCAAAUAGGGUACUAAUGGUGAACUUGAUGGGGCUUAUUCAUGCAAUAAUACCAAUUAAUGUGCUGGUCAUAUGUGAUUUUAAUAUGAAAUUUGCAUUUGUGUGGGCUAAAUGGGAAGGUGUAACACAUAGUAGAAACCAUGAAAAUUCAAAAAAAAUAGUUUUCCAUAUCAUCCACAAAGUUAGUAUAAUUUGUCUAUAAUUAAUUUUGUAAUAAACUCAUAAAGUGUUUAAUAUAAAUUUUACAAAUAAAUAUUAUUUCUAUGUAUUCAUUGUUAGAGUAUAGAGACUGCUAGUCUGUUAUUAUUCUGGUACCUAGUCUGGUAUGAAGUUGGUUAACAGCAGUUACUCAUGUAUAAGUAUAUAAACACUAGCAAUAUUUUCUGUAUUUUCUAAUCUUUCAAUAUUGUUCACUGUUUUACAUAAUAAUCUAGUUACUAACAUGGUAUCAAUCGCCUAAUUUCCAGGUACUUGCUUCCGUUGCCGAUCCAUGGCUAAUUCAACAGAUUCUACUUCUGCUGGUCAUACUAGUCCACUUUUCAGCUCACAUUUGGUUCAGUCAUUUCUGCGUCAUGACACCGUGAAAUUGGAUGAAGGGAAUUUUGUGCAAUGGCAGCAACAUGUUCGUUUAAUGUUGCAAGGAUAUUUAGAGGGCACGUUACCUGCUCUGCCUAGAUUUGUGGCAUCUCCGGAAAGUGUUUUAACUCCGAAUCCUGAUGCGUCCUAGUUUGUUCAACAAGAUAAGUUGCUCGCGUCUUGACUUCUAUCUACUAUUAGUGCUUCCUUAUUGACUUGUUUAUAAUUUCUUUUAAUGAUAAAUAAUUUUUCUUUAAAAAAAAUGUCAAGACUCAAUUAUUUAAUUCGUGAUAUCCAAUAUCUCUUCCACUACUUGUAUGGGUGGCCAUAUUCCCAUUUCAAAGAAAAAAAAAAUCCCAUUUCUGGUUUUCAUUUUAAUUGAGUGGACGAACUUAGUUUUAGCUUGAAUUGUUUUGACUUUAUGCAUUUAUUGUCAGAUCGUUACAGAGAAAACUGCAAGACGAAACGUCCAAGUGAAUCUUCACCAUAACGACUUCUCAUAGAAGAAUCCAAAAUUAAUAAGAUAUCAGUUCAGUCGACUUUUGACUAUAGGCUUAAUGUAUUAUUUAAUACUCAAUUUUAAUAUAUUUUUUAAUGUGGUAUAUGUAUUAUUUUUUGUUCAAUCUAGUAUUUAUAUUUGACAAAAGUUAUAUAUUUCGAUACCCAAAGACAAUGGUGUUAAUUUUUUAAUAUUUAAUUCGAGUUUUAGAGUUUGAUGAAAAUUCAUUAAAGCUAUAUAUUAACAAUUAACUUUCAUCAAAUUAAACCUAAAACUUGAACUAAACACUAAAAUAUUAGCACUGUUACCUUUAGGUAUUAAAAUAUAUAUCCACAAGUAUCACAUUUGACAGAAAACAUAGAUACUACAUUUAAAAAAUAUCAAACUUAAGUACCAAAUUAUGUAAUAAGCCUAAUAUUUAUAUAUCGAGAUUAUGUAUGGUUUGUAUAAUGUGUAAUCGUAUUUACAUGUAUGAUAUGAAUGCAUUAUAUUCAUAAAUAUUAGGUUCGAAUCUUAUCAAGUACAUUUUUGUAAAUUUUACAUGAAUUAAAAUGAUAAAAAAAUUUACUCUCAUAAUAAUAUUUAUUAAUUUAUAAAAGGGAGAGUUUAUAGUAAUUACUUAACUAAGUUGGGAAACCGUUGACAAGUGAUAUCUACAUAAUCUGCUUUUUGAAUAUAAUAUAGAUUUAAAAGGUUAUACAAUUGUUUUCCCUUUUGAAAUUAUAUACUAGAAUUUGUAAAGAUUAUGUGAUUUUGAUAUUUGAAAUAUCAUAUAUAUAUAUGUUCAAAUUAAAUUUUAAAAAAAUUAUAUUUAAAAAUUAUAUUUCAUAUAUCGCAAUAUUAAUGAAUUUAAAUAUAAUUUAAAUUAAAUUAAUUUUUACAUUUCAAUAUAAUGUCACAAUAAUAUUAAAUACUUAAAAAAAUUACAAUUUCUAACAAUAUUUUUUCAAAAAAUAAUUUUUAACCUUUGGACUUCUCCGCACACAGGUAAUCAUAUGAACAAAAAAGAUAACAAGAUGUGUGAUGACUAACAAUUUCUUUUUAUGGUAUAAUUAAAGGGUUAGUGUUCACACACAAAGUAGGGGCAUACCCAUACUAUACAUACGUAUGCAUUAGUUCAAAAGAAACUACUCAAAUAAAAGCCUAUUACUUAAUCUUUGGAAGCCUGAACCAAAGUGAAUUUUACGAGUGAAUAUGUCAUAUUAUAUUUAUCAAAUAUAAUUUAUUUUUGUAAUGAUAAAAAGUGGGAACCAAAACAAUAAUCUACCAAAAUGCAAUGAUUAAUUCUACUAAAUAUAUGAUUAAUUUAUUUUGAUUAAUUAUACUUCUACUAAAUAUAUGAGUAAAUAUGUCAUAAUAUUGAUUAAUUCGAAAAAUAUAAUCACUAGAAUUAAUCAAAAUUAAAAAUAUUUUAAAAUUUUAAUUAUCAUAUUAAAAUUUUUUUCUCAAAGUUAAAGUAGGAAAUAUUCUUUUUAUCUAAACCAAUAACGUAGUUGUACUAUAAAUCAUGGUCUCUUUUCAACAAUAGUAGACACAGUAGUGACAGCACCUCGUGAUAAGCUCAGUGGGUUCACCUUAAAAUUUCUUGGUUUUCCUCCCAAAGCAACAAGAUGUUGCAAACAGCUUGCAUCUCGUUUUCAUGGCUGUUGAAUGUUGGCAACCAGAAAGAUGGACUGUUCCCAGCAUCUUUCUCGUUUCUGGUUGCCAUAUUGGGAAUUUCACUCUUGUACUCAUUUUGGAAGGCAAGGAAACCGAUGGCUCCAUUACCACCUGGUCCCCGUGGGUCGCCAAUUGUUGCGCGGAAGCGUGUGAAAGAGUAAAAUUAUUGUACUGAAAAAUCACACUAAGUUCAAUUCCCAGGAAAGAAAGGUAGAUCACGAAGAUCACUUAAAUACCAAGUCUUUCCUAGCCAGAAUAUCCCUCUAUCGUAAUUUAAAAGCACAAUAAAUCACUACAAUCACAUUCACAAAAUAUGCAAAACAAAUAAUAAAGAACACCAGAAUUUUAACGAGGUUCAGCAAAUUUUGCCUACGUCCUCGGGCACUACCAAAUAUAUUUCACUCCAAAAAUUACAAGUGAAAUUUACAAAUAGAGAGAGAGAAUAAUGCCUUAAGUAGAGAAUGGCAAUUAUGGGAUGAAGAAAGUAAGAAAUGGUUAGGCCUAUUUAUAGUUGAGGUUCAAGGAUCAACUUGCAAUGUCCCUAUACAAUUAGGGACCAAAAUUGCAAUUAUCCCAUGCCAACUUUUAACCCAACUUGCCAACCAAUUUUACUUUCUACUUUCGGUGCCCACCCUUUUUGACUUUUCAAACAAUGGGUGGGUUCCAAUAAUCUCCACCUUGAAGAUUUGAUUAGGAUAAUCUUAUCUUCACACAAUUCUUUCUGCCUUUGACAACAAUACUUGAUAGUGCCUUCUUCAACUGUUAAACUUGCAGGAUAUUGAUCAAGUUCAAACAAUGUUCGAACUUGGUUGCUGUUACCACCUUGGUCAUUAUAUCUGCGGGAUUAUCUGCAGUCUUGAUCUUCUGAAGACAAAUUUUCCCCUCUUCAAUAAUUUCCCGCACAAAAUGGAAUCGUACGUCGAUAUGCUUUGUACGUGCAUGAUAGACUUGAUUCUUUGCUAAAUGAAUAGCACUUUGACUAUCACAAUACAUGUUAAUAUGCUCCUAAACCAACCCCAAGGUUUUAGCCAUACCUUGUAACCAAAUAGCCUCCUUUACAGCCUCUGUUACAACCAUGUACUCGGCUUCUGUGGUUGACAACGCAACUGUAGACUGUAGUGUAGACUUCCAACUUAUUGGUCCUCCAGCAAGUGUAAACACAUAACCGGUGGUUGAUAUUCGCUUGUCCAAAUCACCGGCAUAGUCAGAAUCAACGUACCCAAUAACACCUUUACCAAGUGUAUUAUCCUGCUUGAACAGUAAUCCAACAUCUACGGUUUUCUGAAUAUACCGUAAAAUCCAUUUCACAGCUUGCCAAUGUCCUUUUCCAGGAUUAUGCAUAUACCUGCUCACUAUACUAGCUGCCUGUGAAAUGUCGGGUCUUGUACACACCAUUGCAUACAUCAAGCUACCCACUGCAUUAGAAUACGGAACUUGCAACAUGUAUUCUCGUUCCGUAUUCGUCGAAGGAGAUAGUUGUGCAGAAAGCUUGAAAUGAGAAGCCAACGGGGUACUUACAGGUUUUGUCUGCUCGUUCAUGCCAAACUGCUGUAGUACCUUCUUCAAAUACUGCUUCUGAGACAAGCUAACUUUAUCAUGAGCUCUAUCUCUCCAUAUUUCCAUGCCGAGAAUCUUUUUAGCUUCUCCUAGAUCUUUCAUCUCAAACUCGAGAUUGAGUUGAGUCUUCAAUCUUUCAAUCUCAACUUUGCUCUUAGAUGCUAUUAGCAUAUCAUCAACAUAUAAGAGCAAGUAUAUGAAAGUUCCUUCUUGUAGCUUCUGAAAAUACACGCAAUGAUCAAAUUUACUUCUUGUGUACCUUUGCCCUUUUAUGAACUGAUCAAAUCGCUUGUACCACUGCCUCGGAGAUUGCUUCAAUCCAUAAAGCGACUUUGUCAGUUUGCAAACCCAAUUUUCUUUUCCAGCAACCUUGAAUCCAUCUGGCUGAGUCAUAUAGAUUUCCUCUUCCAAAUCACCGUGUAAAAACGCGGUCUUCACAUCAAGCUGAACUAGUUCAAGAUCAUAUUGCGCAACCAAGGCUAGCAAAAUCCGAAUAGACGAAUGCUUCACAACUGGAGAAAACACUUCAUUGUAGUCUAUUCCUUCUUUCUGAGCGUAACCCUUUGCUACUAAUCUAGCCUUGUAUCGAAUUUCAUUUUUAUCAGGAAAUCCUUUCUUCUUUGCAUAUACCCAUUUGCAUCCACUUGCCUUCUUUACCUUGGGUAGUGUCACCAACUCCCAGGUCUUAUUUUUAUGAAGAGACUGCAUUUCUUCAUUCAUUGCUUGCUUCCACUUUACACCAUCAGGGUUACUUAUUACUUCUGUGUAAGUAGAAGGAACAUCAUCAUCUGUAAUUGGAAGUGCAUAGGCCACUAUAUCAUCAAAGCGAGCAGGCUUACGAAUCUCUCUUCUUGGCCUUCUAUAUGCAAUUGAAUCUUGUUGCUGUAGAGGUUCUUGGGUAGGAACCUCUUCAUCAUUUGUCCCUUCAAUAUUAGCUGGAUCAUCGUUAACCUUUUCAAGCUCCACCUGCUGCAAAGUACUACUGGUUUUGUCAUCCUUUUGUGAAUCAUUGUACUUCAACAUGGUUGAUUCAUCAAAAGUCACAUCUCUACUGAAAACAAUCUUCCUUGUAUCAAGACACCAGAGACGAUAUCCUUUUACUCCAUCAGUUAUACCCAAGAAUAAUACUUUCUUUGCUCUUGGGUCUAACUUAGAUUCUUUUACAUGAUAAUAUGCAGUGGAACCAAAUACAUGCAAAGAAUCAUAAUCAGUAGCAGAUUUACCAGUCCACAUCUCCAUAGGAGUUUUUCCAUUUAUUGCAGCUGAUGGCAAACGGUUAAUUAGAUGGCACGCAUAUGUAACUUCCUCAGCCCAAAAUUCUUUGCCCAAUCCAGCAUUGGACAACAUACAUCGAACUUUCUCCAGUAUAGUUCGAUUCAUUCGUUCUGCCACCCCAUUUUGCUGUGGUGUAUCCCAAACAGUGAAGUGUCGCACAAUGCCCUCAUCUUGGCAUACUUGUAGAAAUGGAUCAUUUUUGUACUCAGUACCAUUAUCUGAUCGAAGUCGUUUGACCUUUCGACCAGGCUGAGUCUCCACCAUCUUCUUCCAUUUCAGAAAUGCAUCCAAAACUUCACUUUUUCUUUUCAUUAGAUACACCCAUACUUUUCUUGAAUAAUCAUCAACAAAAGUAACAAAAUAGUGCAUACCUCCCAAAGAAGCUACUUUGGUAGGUCCCCACACAUCACUGUGAACGUAGUCCAGAAUUCCUUUCAUAUUGUGAAUUGCUGGACCAAAUUUUACCCUCUUCUGCUUGCCCAGAACACAAUGUUCACAGAAUUCCAUUUUGCAAGAAUUUACACCUUUCAAUAAGCCUUGCUUCACCAAUGUCUGCAAAGCUUUUUCACCAGCAUGUCCCAAUCGCAUAUGCCAUAAUCUGGUAGCCUCUGAAUCUACAUCUUUUGUAGAAACUGUUGAUGUUGAUCCAAUAACUAUACUUCCAUUUAAAAAAUACAAGUAAUUUCUUCUUGUGCCUUUCAUCACCGUCAGUUGCCCAGCUACUACUUUUAGUAAUCCAUCUCUCAAAGUGAUUGUGAGCCCUUUAGAUUCUAGGGCACCUAAUGAGAUGAGAUUUUUCUUCAGGCUAGGUACGUAGCGAACAUCUGUCAAGACUUGGAUUGAGCCGUCGUGAUUCUUCAAUUGGACUGUACCCACUCCCAUUGUCUUACAAGCACUAUCAUUUCCCAUAAGAACAAUUCCACCUUCUAGCUCUUUAAGACUAGAAAACCAGUCCUUAUUAGGACACAUAUGGUAAGUACAUCCUGAAUCCAAAAUCCACUCAUCCAUUUGACAUGCCAUUGCCAUGCCAACCAAGCUAAAGUCUGACUCCUCAUCAUGCUCCGCUACACAUGCAUUAGAAAUAGCCUUGCCCUUUUGUAGCUUAGGACAAUUCUUUUUCCAAUGCCCUUUUUCAUGGCAAAAGGCACAUUCAUCUUUGGCGGGUCUCCCUUUGGACUUUCCCCUUCUACCAGAUUUGCUGCUGUGUGAACGACCUCUUACUGUUAAGACUUCUGCGGUUGUAUCUCUGUGAUCUCUUUUAUCUUUCUUUCGAGUCUCAGAUCUAUACAACGCACUACAGACUGCAUCAAAUGUGAUCGUGUCCUUCCCAUGAAGCAAUGUGGUGGUAAGAUGAUCAUAUUCAUCAGGAAGGGAAUUCAACAACAAUAAUGCCUUGUCUUCAUCUUCAAAUUUCUCAUCCAAAUUUAGCAAGUCUGCUAAAAUUUUAUUGAAUAAGUUCACAUGGUCAUUCAUCGACAUACCGGGUGUAUACGUGAAUCGAUAAAGUUUCUUUUUCAUAUAAAGCCUAUUUUCAAGACUUUUCGUAAAAUGAAGAGAGAGAAUAAUGCCUUAAGUAGAGAAUGGCAAUUAUGGGAUGAAGAAAGUAAGAAAUGGUUAGGCCUAUUUAUAGUUGAGGUUCAAGGAUCAACUUGCAAUGUCCCUAUACAAUUAGAGACCAAAAUUGCAAUUAUCCCAUGCCAACUUUUAACCCAACUUGCCAACCAAUUUUACUUUCUACUUUCGGUGCCCACUCUUUUUGACUUUUCAAACAAUGGGUGGGUUCCAAUACCAAUCCUGGGGUAUCUUCCAUUUCUUGGAUUCGAUAAUCUCCAUCUGGUCUUUACGGAGUUGGGUGGAGUUUAUGGUCCCAUUUACAAGCUUUGGCUUGGGAACAAGCUAACCGUAGUAAUUAGCUCUCCAUCGCUUGUAAAAGAAGUGGUUCGUGACCAUGAUAUAGCAUUUUCAGAGCGAGAACCUCUCAUUGCCGCACAGAUUAUUACCUUUGGCUCCAGUGAUAUUGCGUUCGACUCUUACAGCAGUCCCAGCUGGAAAAACAAGCGCAAAGUUCUCGCGACCGAUAUGCUAAGCAACGCUAACCUUAACGCCUGUUAUGAUCUACGACGAGAGCAAGUGAUGAAAAUGGUCGAGGAUGUGUAUGAAAACGUUGGCAAGCCAAUUGAUAUCGGCGAAUUGGCAUUCUGUACGUUAAUCAAUUUGAUCGGAAAGAUGGUGUGGGGAGGCGCACUCCGAGGAGAGAAAGGGACUGCGGUUGAGGGUCGCUUCAAAGAGAUUUCUUCGCAGAUGGUGGUGUUAAUGGGAAAACCAAACAUUUCCGAUAUUUUCCCCGCGAUUGCAUGGUUCGACAUGCAAGGUAUCCAGAGGGGAAUUAAGUAAAUCCGUCAAUCGUUCAAUGAACUUUUAGAGUCUGUGAUUGAACUCAGAAUGAACACGGUGACUGAGAAAGAAACGAGUGAACAAAAAUCUGACUUCUUACAAUUGCUCUUGGAUUUACACAAUAACCAAGAUAGCCCUUCAUCACUUACGAUGAAUCAAGUAAAGGGCAUUCUCAUGGUAAGAUUUUAUGAUUUUUAGCUAUCAUACAUUAUUUUUCCUUCUUUAAUUCGUUUUGAGUAAUUGGUGGUUUGUAAUAGGACAUUGUGGUGGGUGCAACAGAUACCACUUCAACUACGACAGAGUGGGCAAUGGCAGAGCUAAUGCAACAUCCAGAAAUAAUGGAGAAAGUGAAGAAAGAAUUAACUGAUGUUGUUGGGGUAAAUGAAAUAAUUGAAGAGUUUCACUUGCCUAAUUUAAGUUACCUAAGUGCAGUGAUAAAGGAGACCUUCAGAUUGCAUCCACCCGUGCCCCUUCUUUUUCCUCGUUUUUCUGCUCAAUCACUCACUGUGGGUGGCUAUAACAUACCAAAGGGUAGCAAGGUAUUUUUAAACAUGUGGUUCAUUCACACGGACCCCAAUAUUUGGGACAACCCUUCAGAAUUUUGACCCGAAAGGUUCUUGGAUGAGCCUGGAAAGUUCGAUUUUCUCGGAAAUGAUUUCCGAUAUAUGCCAUUUGGGUCAGGAAGGAGACGGUGUCCAGGCAUAACCCUAGGGGAGAAGAUGUUAUCUUUCAUAUUGGCCUCAUUGCUGCAUUCUUUUGAAUGGAAAUUGCCCCAAGGCGAACAGCUUGGUCUUUCAAGCAAAUUUGGAAUUGUUAUGAAGAAAAAGAACCCUUUACGUCUUAUUCCCAUACCGAGAUUGUCUGAUCAUGUGCUUUACAAAAAGUAAUGGUUAUAAACUAUUAUUAUAUGUAUCCUCUUUUGCAAAUUACUGUUGUCUAUAAAUCUUGGCAUGUCAUCUAGGACUGGGAUAUCAACUCUAAUGUCACGAUUUUAUUGAUAUCUUUUAUUCGAUUGAAUAAAAAAAGAGUUAUUAGUUUGAUGAUUAAGAGUUAGUGAAUUUAUCUUUGAAAUUUAAAUUUGAUUUCCUUCCCUCAUGUAACUUUUAUUUUUUUAUAUUUUUACCUAAAACCCUAGCUGUAUUGUCCCAUGCUGUAACCCUAGAUAUAAAUAUUAUUUAAUUUUCUGUUCAACCUCUUUGGAUCAUUUAUUCUUUUCUCUUUGCUGUCCCACCCUCCUCUCUUCCUCUCAUUCUUCAAUUUUUCCUCAUCCUUGCCUUGCUGCCCCUAAAACCCUAAUUUGUCCAUCUUUUUGCCGCCUCUUUCUUCCCUUCCUCCAUUUGUGGCCGCCACACCCCAUUGAUCGUCUCCUCCUCUUGUUUUCUUUUAAUUUUUAUUCAUCUGUUCACUUCUCUGUUGUGGUUGAACUUUACUGAUGAUUUUUUGCCAUUGCCACACCUAUUUGCUCUCAUUUUCUGUUGAAUGAUGGUCAGCAUGCAGCCAUGAAGCAGACAGCAAGCAGGCCGUGAAGAUCAAGCCAUGCAGGAGCUACUGGAACGAGAUCAACUGUUCCUAUUUUGUUCAUUUUGCAAUCUUAAGUUAAUGUAAUGUACUUUAGUUCAUUUAGAACUAUGUUAGGUUUAUGAUUGAUGUAAUUUUGAUGACAAAUGAGCUGUUAACUCAGCUUUGUUUAAGUGUGCAAGCUUAGUUUUUCAAGUUUCAAUGUAUUAGUGGUGGUAAGUGAUGAAUAGGUGACAUUAUGCAGAUUUUGGCAAGCAAAUUGCUUGGUUUAUGUAUUGGCAUUAUGCCAUUGUUCAACUAUGAAUCAAAUCAGUUUAGUUUUCUUCAAAAAUACUCUCCAUUUUCUUUGCUUUUCUUCUUUCUUUUGUUUCAAAUUCAAUUGUUUCCUCAGCAAGUAUCGAGCCUUGCUGCUCAAGACACAAGCUAAGCUUGCUUGUUCUUUGUUUCCAGCACUAACAUUUUCCUUCAUUUUGUUGUUGAAAUCAGCCUCCUAUCUUGGCCGAUUGUGGUGUUCAAUUGUUUUCUGUUGAUUCCUUAUCUUGUAUCCGAAAAUUAGGAAGUAUAAGUUACUAACAUGGUAUCAGUCGCCUAAUUUCCAGGUAUUUGCUUCCGCUACCGAUCCAUGGCUAGUUCAACAGGUUCUACUUCUGUUGGUCAUACUAGUCCGUUCUCCAGCUCACAUUUGGUUCAGUCAUUUCUGUGUCAUGACACCGUGAAAUUGGAUGAAGGGAAUUUCGUGCCAUGGCAGCAACAUGUUCGUUUAAUCACAGAAGGAUAUGAGUUGCAAGGAUAUUUAGAGGACACGUUACCUGCUCCGCCUAGAUUUGUGGCAUCUUCGAAAGGUGUUUUAACUCCGAAUCCUAACGCGUCUUUGUUUGUUCAACAAGAUAAGUUGCUCGCCUCUUGGCUUCUAUCUACAAUUAGUGCUUCCUUAUUGUCUUGUUCAUAAUUUCUUUUAAUGAUAAGUAAUUUUUCUUUAAAAAAAAAAUCAAGACUCAAUUAUUUAAUUCAUGAUAUCCAAUAUCUCUUCCACUACUUGUAUGGGUGGCCAUAUUCCCAUUUCAAAGAAAAAAAAUAAUCCCAUUUCUGGUUUUCAUUUGAAUUGAGUGGAUGAACUUAGUUUUAGCUUGAAUUGUUUUGACUUUACGCAUUUCUUGUCAGAUCGUUGCAGAGAAAACUACAAGAGGAAACGUCCAAGUGAACCUUCACCAUAGCGACUUCUCAUAGAAGAAUCCAAAAUUAAUAAGAUAUCAGUUCAGUCGACCCCAUUUACUAAGUUUUUUGUUUUUGUUUCUGGAUUUGAGUAAGCUGUUUGAAACGUUAUCGACUUUUGACUAUAGGUUUAAUGUAUUAUUUAAUACUUAAAUUUAAUAUAUUUUUUAAUGUGGUAUAUGUAUUAUUUUUUGUUCAAUCUAGUAUUAUAUUUGACAAAAGUUAUAUAUUUCGAUACCCAAAGGUAACGGUGUUAACUUUUUAAUAUUUAAUUCGAGUUUUAGAGUUUUAUGAAAAUUCAUUGAAGUUAUAUAUUAACAAUUAACUUUCAUUAAAUUAACCCUAAAAUUCGAACUAAACACUAAAAUAUUAGCACUGUUACCUUUAGAUAUUAAAAUGUAUAGCCACGAGUAUCACAUUGGGCAGAAAACAUAGAUACCACAUUUAAAAAAAAUCAAACUUAAGUACCAAAUUAUGUAUUAAGCCUAAUAUUUAUAUAUUGAGAUUAUGUCUGGUUUGUAUAAUGUGUAAUCGUAUUUACAUGUAUGAUAUGAACGCAUUAUAUUCAUAAAAGAAAAUUUUAAAAUUCAACUUAAUAGAAUUGAGUUAUUCGAGAUAUCCAUUUUUUUUAGUCAGCUCGAAGAAAUAUUUCAAUUUUUCGCUUUCGAACAAGUUUUGAGUUGAAUUUUACAACUCGAAUAGCACCAAUAAUUCAAAUAACUAGAAUAAUAAGUUGUUGUAAAUACUCUUUUGUCCCUGUAAAUUUAGAAAAUAAGUAAAAUUACAAAAUAAUUAAAAUAAUUUUUAAAAAUUUAAAAUAUUUAUAAAAAAUCCAAAUUUUCAUAAUUUUUUAAAUUUAAAAAAUUAAAAAAUCUUUAAAAGAUUCUAAAGAAUAUAUAAAAAAGUUUAAAAUUUUAAAAAUUUUCAAAAUAAUAAUUUUGAGGAGCUAAACAAAUAAAUUAUUAAUUCAAAUUUAUCAUACUGAAAUAUCUUUUUUUCCUCUUAUUUUACUUUAAAAUUUUUUCCAAAUUUAUGUACACUCUAAUUAACAAAAUUUAAUUUAACAAGUUUUUUUAAUUUAAUUUAAAUGAUUUUAUUAAAUUAAAUUCAAUGCUCAACCUAUUAAUAUUCCCAUCAAAUUUUCCCAUUCUUAUGACCACAUAUUGUUGGUGUGAGUGUUAACAUAAUUUUUCAACAUCAAACAUACAAGCUCCACAACAAACAAAGUUAUCUAUAGUGCAAAUAAUAGUAUAAUUUCCCAACAAAUGAAAAAAAAAGUACUUUAAUAUAUCAAAACUAAAAUAUAAUUUUUCACACAUAUCAAAAUAAGAGAAUUAACUAUACUGACAAAUGCACAAUACAAAAAUUGGGACCAUGUGUCUAUUUCACAAACAGUGUUUAGUGAAGAUUCACAAGAAAGCUUUGAAGAAUGGGAUCAUGUGUCUCUUUUCAACAUCACAAACACAAUACACAUAUGAAGACAAAUCCAUGCUUACCUUUCUGCUUUUAUAACCACAACAAAUUUCAAAGUUCCAGUAACAGUUUUUGUGGGUUUUAGGGAUUUUAAGGGUUUAGUGAUUUCUAGAUUUAAUAUUUUUUUAAAAGUAUGGUGUUUUUAUUUGUGAUUAUUGUAAAACUAAUAGUGAUAGUGAGAUUAGAUAUUACAGCGUAAAACAAAACAAAAAUUAAACACACCGCAUUAAAAAUAAACGUCUAUUCGAAAGGGAACUUAAUAUUUCACUGUCGAAGUUUCAUUACAAUAAAUGUGAAGAUGGGUUCAUGGAACAAAUUUUUGUUUAGGUUUUGUUUUCGAACGAAUUUUUUUCCUUUUUUUUGUUAUAAACUUUUUUUUUCUUUUUAGUGAUUUGAGGGUUUAAAUGGGUGCAAAACAAUUUGAAGGAGUUGAGUUGAUUUUUUGGAAAAAUUUCAAGGGCUUAUUGUACCAAUAAGUCUUCUUAAAAAUAUUUUGUAAGUUAUUAGAAUUGGAUCCGUGUUGAACUAAUUAAACCAUCGGUUUGUCGAUCUAGAUGGUUCGAGUAAAUAAAUAAUUAAAAAAUCAUAAAAAUAAAAGAAGAUAAAAACUAGUUUAACUAAUUUUUUUAACCUGGUUCGUACCAGUUCCUGUUCAAUUGGUUUGAAGCCUUUCUUUAAACAAUAUUAUGCCGAUCAAUUCUCGAUCUAAUCAAUUUGAUUGACUAAUUUAGUUCAAAUAAAUAUGAUAUUUUGAAUUUUUUUGAAGUGGAGAAGAGAAUGAGAUAAUAAAUUAAAUUUAUUUUUAAUUAAUAGAAAUUAAAGGAGAAUUGAAAAAAAUAAUUUAAAUUAUUUUUCAAUACAUGUGGUGUAAUAUGAUUGGUAGCUGAAUACAUGUGGUAUAAUUUGAUUUGUUGAGAUAAAAAUCUUAACGAGUGUUAGUUAGAUACCUAAAAGAAGUACCAAUUUAACUUAUAGUUUGUAAGUUUAGGUAUCCGUUAGGUCCAAAAAAAGCUAAAUGCCAAGUAGGUACAUAUUGCCAAGUUUAAUAAUAUAUACUAUAUUGUUGCUGAACGAGUGUGUGCGCCCUUAACUUAGCUGGUAGCAGGAUCAACCGAAAAGUACUAAAAUGCCGUUCAUAUAGAAUAUAAGUUACAUUGCAGUGUCGGCAUAAAAAAAUAUUUUUUAUCCCCGACCCAAUCAACAAGCAAUGGUUACACAGUGAUGAACUUUGGUGCUAACCAUCGGAGUGUCAGCAUCGUCCAACAUUUUAGAUUACAGGUCAUUUUAGUUAUAGGUUUUGAAUCUGUCAUUUUCGUAAAUAAGAAAUUUUUCGAGUCAUUUUUGAAAAAAAAUGUCUUAAUUAGAUCUUUUAAUUUCCUUCAAAUCAGUAUAUUAUGAGUGCAAAACAGAGGGUUGUAGCUCAAAUUAUGAUAAAAAUGCUAAAGUUGCAGUAUGUGAAAGUCUCAGCUGUAAAACUUGCCAAAAAUAAACUUUAAACUUUUUUUUCUCAAGUUAUUCUCUAAAUUAAUAAUAGAUAAAAUAUAAGUAUAAAUAAUAUAAUUAUCAACAUAACUAGCAUAAGGUGAAAAAUAUGACUGAUAGAUAGAGAAAUUGGACAAUUAUCAAUAGUUCACGAUUUUCUUUUGUAAAGCUCAAGAUUAGUUAAUCUUGGUGUGGGAAUCAGAUGUAAAGGGUUCUUUUUACCCAUAAUGAUUCCAAAUUUACCAGAAAGGUCAACCUUUUCGUCUUGGGGCAAUUUCCACUCAAAAGAAUGCAGCAAUGAGGCCAAUAUGAAAGAUAACAUCUUCUCCCCCAAGUUAAUGCCUGGACACUUUCUCCUUUCGGACCCGAACGGCAAAUAUCGAAAAUCAUUUCCACGGAAAUCUAAUUUUCCAGGCUCAUUUAAAAACCUCUCAGGUUGAAAUUCCAUAGGAUUGUCCCAAAUAUUAGGGUCCCUGUGAAUGGACCACGUAUUUAGGAACACCCUACUAUCUUUUGGUAUGGUAUAGCCACCCACAGUGAGCGAUCGGGCUGAACAUCGGGGAACAAGGAGCGGCAAUACUGGAUGUAAUGGGAAGGUUUCCUUUAUCACUGCAUUUAGGUAUCUUAAAUUAGGCAAGUGAAACUCUUCAACAGUGUUGUUUACCCCAAUGACAUCAUUUAAUUCUUUCUUCACUUUCUCCAUUAUUUCUGGAUGUUGCAUCAGCUCUGACAUUGCCCACUCUGUUGAACCCGAAGUAGUAUCUGUUCCAGCCACCACAAUGUUCUAAUUUAAAAUACAUUAGCACCCAAAACAAAUAAAAGGAAGAAGAAAAAAAUAGGAUAGUUAAAAACAUAGAAACUUACUACUAGGAUACCCUUGAUUUGAUUCAUUGUAAGUGAUGAAGGGCUAUCUUGGUUCUUAUGUAAAUCCAAGAGCAUCUGUAACACAUCAGAUUUUUGUUCACCAGUUUCCUUCUUCAUUCUUUCUUCAAUCACUGAAUCCAAAAAUUCAUUGAACGAUUGACGGAUUUUCUUCAUUCCCCUCUCAAUGCCUUGUAUGUCAAACCAAGCAAUCGAUGGAAAAAAAUCGGAAAUGUUUGGUUUUCCCAAAAACACCACUAUCUCUGCAAAAAUCUUUUUGAACUGACUCUCCACGAUAGUCCUUUGCUCUCCUUGGAUUUCGCCUCCCCACACCAUGUUGCCGAUCAAACUGGUUAACGUACGAAAUGCCAAUUCACCGACAUCAGUCAGCAUACCGACGUUUUCAUACACAUCCCCCACCAUUUCCAUCACUUUUUCUCGCCGUAGAUCAUAACAGGCAUUAAGAUUAGCGUUGCUAAGCAUAUCGGAUGCGAGAAUUUUGCGCUUGUGUUUCCAGCUCGGACUGCUGUAAGAGUCGAAUGCAAUAUCAUUAGAGCCGAAGGUAAUAAUCUGUGCAGCAAUGGGAGAUUCUCGCUCUGAAAAGGCUAUAUCAUGGUCACGAACCACUUCUUUUACAAGCGAUGGAGAGCUAAUUACUACGAUUAACUUGUUUCCAAGCCAAAGUUUGUAGAUAGGACCGUAAACUCCGGCCAACUCCGUAAAGACCAGAUGGAGAUUAUCGAAUCCAAGAAAUGGAAGAUACCCCACUAUUGGCAACCCAAGGGGACCAGGCGGUAAUGGAGCCAUCGGUUUCCUCGCCUUUAGAAAUAGGUACCAGAGUGAAAGCCCCAACAUGGCAACCAGAAAUGGGAAAGCUGCUGGUAAGAAUCCAUCUUUCUGGUUGCCACCAUUCAACAGCCAUGAAAGCAAGCUGUAAGCUGUUUGGAACAUCUUUUUCGCUUUUGUGAGGAAAACCAGGAAAUUUUUACACUGAGAUUUAUCCGGUAAGUGCAGUGCCCACUAAGAAGUGACCAUAAUUUAUAGUACUAAAAUAGCUGUUUGGUAAUUUAUUUUGUUUUUUUUUAAAUUCAUUUUCAAUUUAAUUUAAUUUAAUUUAAUUUAUGCAAGAAUUUAUAAAGUGAAUUUAAAAUAUUUAUAUAACAUAUUUCGGUGAAUUAUUAAUCUAACUAAUUUGAUUUAGUUGAUUAGUUGAAAUAUGCUGACUCAAAAUUUUAAAAAACUUCUAACCGAUCCCUAUCUUUGCUGCUAUUGAUGAUGAUGUUCCUCUUGCAUCCUUUGUUCCUCAAAUCGCAAGAAAGCGGACAAAGAGACUGUUAGAAUUAAAUGACCCGAAUCCUUAUUUAAAUAAAAUAGUGUGGUAAAAUAAAAUAAAAGUAAAAUUCCUAUAUAAUUAUACUUCUUUUAUUUUAUUUUAGAAUAAGGUUUUUUAAACCUUAUUAAACUCCAUCUAUUUGAUAUUGAUUAGAAUAAGGUGUUUCACUCCUAUUAGAAUAUGGUUUUAUAAGCAUAUAAAUAGACAUAGUCUACUCUUGUAAUUAUUCGAAUUCGACAUAGUAAUUUUCUUCUCCUCUACCCGUGGUUUUUUCUCGAAAGGGUUUCCACGUAAAAUUUGUGUGUUCUUUAUUUUUAUUUCUAUUUCUAUUUUCUUUGAGAUAUAUUUUCAUUACCGAUAUUCUAUUUUUACAAAUUGGUAUCAGAACUUCUGGGUUGUUCAUCUCAAUCACGGAAAUGGCGUCUUUGAAAUAUGAAAUUCUGCUGUUGGAUCACAACACCAGAUUAGCAUUGUGGCAGAUAAAGAUGCAGGCAGUUCUUACUAACGAAAUUUUGCAUGAUGUGAUGAAGGAGAAGACCGUCGCUGGAUUAUGGAAGAGGUUGGAACAAAUACGUAUGUCAAAAACUCUAACUAGUAAGCUGCAUAUGAAGCAGCGUCUUUAUGCUCAUCGUUUGGAGGAAUGUGCGUCUGUGCACAAACACUUGACAGUGUUUAAAGAAAUUCUCUCAAAUUUGGAGGCCAUGGAGGUUCAGUAUGAUAAGGAAGAUCUUGUAACAGCCCGAUUUUGGGCCUAGUCGGAACAGUGGUUUCGGGACCACAAAUCCAACAAGGAAAAUUUUAUUUUUAUUAUAUUUUUAUGGUCUACAAUUUCAUAGAAUGAUUUUGUGAAAAUUUUGUUCGAAAAUUUCGACGUUUGGGCACUCAAUUUAGUAAAAAGGACCAAAUUGUAAAAAGCACAAAACUUGAGUUCUACAUGUUAGAGGUGCCCAAUUGUUAUGAAAUUUUAAAUUGGAGGUCUUUAUAUGAUGAUUAGACCAUUGGUUAAAUUAUGGACAAAAAUGGACAUGAGAUAAGUGAAAUAGGAAAAUUUUGAUUUAGGGGCAAUUUGGUAAUUUAGUAAUAAAAAGAAAUAAAAAGGGAAAAAGGAUGGCAAAAUGUGCUCAUCUUCUCCAUGGUGGCCGAAUAUAGCAAGGGGGAAGCCAUAGUUAGGGUUUUCAAGCUUCCAAGCUCCAUAAUAAGUGAUUCCAAGCCCCGUUUUUAAUGUUCUUUACGUUUUUAGAGUUCUGGUAACUUAAUUUAGCUUAUUCUAGCAAUAAUUUAAUUUAGGGUUCAUAUUUGGAAAAAUACCCAUAGGUGAAAUGUGUUUAUUUUGAUGUUUUAUGAUAGAACAUGAAGCUUUAAAUUAUGUUAGACAACUUUUGCUAGGCGAUUUUAAGUGAAAACGAGUAAAAUGACAUAAUCGGUAAAAAUACCUAAUGUUCAUAAGUAGAUGUUAGAGUGGGAAUUUGAUGUUUCCAUAGAAGGGAAAAGUGUUCAACAUGUCAUAAAACAUAAUAAUAAGGGUUGAAGUUUAAUUUUCGAGCUUUUCGAAAAAAAAUGUAAAUAUGCAAAAGUUUAGGGGCAAAAUCAUAAUUUUUCCAAAGUUUGAGUCAAGGACUGUUUUGAUAAAUGUGAGUAUUAAAUAAGCUAAAUUUGCUAUUAUAAAUCAUGAAAGACGAGAAAUUGACAUUGAUCAGUGAAAUAGAGUAAGUGAAAUUAUGAAAGAGUAAAUUUAGCAACAAAAUAAUUUUGGACAGCAACAGUUGUGUGACUUUGAAAAAUCACCAAAAAUGGUGGAAAUCGAAUUAGAGGUUUAAUAAUAUAUAAAAUUAAGUCUAAAUGAGUAUAUUUUCACAUAAAAGAAACAGAGAAAGCAAAAGAGUUAUAUAUUUUGAGAUAUUUGAAUUUUAGUAAGACAGGGUCAGAAUGAUUUUGGAAUCCCCUGUUCUGACUUUGGAAAAUCAUUAAAAAUUGUAAAAAAAUAGUUAUGAGUUAUAAUAUAUAUGUUUAAAAUCUUGAAAGAUUAUAUUUUCAAGAUAAACAAACAAGAAUGCCAUCCAAACUCUGUACAAUAAGAUAAUUAAUUUUUAGUGAAGAAAGGUCAGAACUACCGAAUAGUGAAAUAGGGGAGAAUUUAAAGAAUAAACUGUACUAAUUGGAUAAGACAAAAAUUAUGAAAAUUUUAUGGUAAGAAUAUAUAUGAGUUUAGUUUCUGGAAAAAUUAACAGAUCUUAAUUUGAAGCUUUGUAGCUUGAGAUAUAAAUAAUUUAAUGACUCUGACUCGGAUAGACAGCUUUGAAUUUACAUAUAAGUAAAUAGUGAAAAUAUAGUUAAUGUUGUUUAAGUGUGUUAUAUACAUUAAGGAUGUGGAAUGGAGAGGAGGAGGCAGACAAUAAAAUAUAUGAAUGAAUUGUUUAUAAAUGGUUAUACGCCCGCUUAUAAUCAGUAAAUGUUAAAUUGAAUGGUAAAUACGUAUUGAUAUUGAAAGAAUUAUUGUGGUAUUGAAAAGCAAUUGAUCAAAUGUUUAAGAAAUUUAAUCAUAGUAUAUAUAUGUGUGGUAAUUUUGAUAUAUUGAUGUAUUUUGGUUGUGGAUUGAUCUUGAUGAUAAAUGUUAGGUAUAUUUGGUCUUUAAGUGACAUAAUUGAGAAGUACGAUAGGUGGGUCAUUUUAUGUGUGAGAUGAUGGUAUGAUUUGGCUUGGUUAAGUAAGUUAAAAGGAUGAUUACAUCAUUGAGAUUGCAUUGAUUAAUUCGGUAACUAGGUGAGGUGAAUUAUGAUUUGUGAAGCAUAUCUAUAUUCGGUAAUAAUAGAUAAAAUAUAUUUAUGUCAUGGGUGAAUGGAUAAACACUUGGGCUAGUAUAAGGUGUAUAUUUUGUAAUGUUAGUUGGUAAUGAAAUAACAGGUUUUGGUUUAACAUCGAAUAGAGAAAAGUUGUACUAUCUUUAUGGCUAAUAUUGAUAGCUAAAUGGGAGAUGAAUAGAUAAUGUAUAUGUGACACUUAGCUUAUGAGAUAUUAAGUAAUUGAUAUAUUACAAUAGUUAAGUAGGAAAAAUGUGACGAUAUGAGAAUAUGUAAUGAUAUGGAUCAAUUCAGGUACUCGUGAUGAAAUCAACAAAUAACUAAAAAUUUAUAAAUUCAUACGACGAGGAAGUGAAAGAUUGUGAGUAUAUUGGGCCACGUAAACCCUAAUUAGUGACUCAAGAAUAACAAUUUGAAAGUUUUAAUUUAGAUGAAAUUUUACAACUUAGUUUAAUACGGUUAAAAGUGUAUGUGUUCUGGUAAUACCUCGUACCCUAUUCCGGCAUCGAAUAUGGGUAAGGAGUGUUACAGAUCUAGGGUUGAUUCUACUUUGUUCGUUACCCCCAUUUUAUUCAACCUUUAGAGAUAUAAUUUUAUAUAGCCGCGAGUCUCUUAUAGUUGAUGAGGUUUAUGAUUCUUUAACCUCGUAUGAUAAGAUGAAGCAUUUUGUAGUUAAAAUCGACUCUCAAGGAGAGGGUCUAAUUGUUCGUGGGAGACAAGACCGAAAUGCUGAUGAUGAUCGUGGAAGGACACAGGAACGGAAUCCUCGCGGUAAAUCUAAGGGUACAUCGAAGUCUUCAAAUAGAGGUAAAACUUGUAACUUUUGCAAGAAGAAAGGGAACAUUAAAUCUAAGUGCUAUAAGCUACAGAAUAAGAUCAAAAGGGAGGCUGCGAAUCAAAAUGGAAAACAACCAAAAAAUUCUGGUAUGGCUGAUGUUGUAGAAGACUACAGCGAUGGUGAACUUCUAGUCGCUUCUGUCAACAAUUUUAAAGUGAGCGAGGAGUGGAUCCUUGAUUCAGGCUGCACCUUCCACAUAAGUCCCAAUCGAGAUUGGUUUACAACUUACGAAACAGUGUCUAAAGGUAUUGUUUUGAUGGGAAAUAAUGCUUCAUGUAAAAUUACAGGUGUUGGAACAAUUAAAGCUAAGAUGUUUGAUGGAGUUGUCAGAACACUUAGUGACGUACGAUAUGUUCCAGAAUUAAAGAGAAAUUUAAUUUCGUUGAGUACUCUUGAUUCAAAAGGGUACAAAUACACAGCUGAAAGUGGGGUUUUGAAGAUUUCCAAAGGUUCCCUCAUUGUGAUGAAAGAGCAGAGAAAGACUGCUAAGUUAUAUGUUUUGCAGGGUUCUACUAUUACUGGUGAUGUAACUGUCAUAUCCUCUUCCUUGUCAGAUGAUGAUAUUACUAAACUUUGGCAUAUGCACCUAGGGCAUAUGAGUGAGAAUGACAUGGUAGAAUUGAGCAAAAGAGGACUUCUUGAUGGGUAAGGAAUUUGCAAACUAAAGUUCUGUGAGCACUACGUUUUUGGGAAGCAAAAGAGAGUUCACCAGAGGAAUCCAUAACACGAAAGGAAUGUUGGAGUAGAUUCAUUCUGAUCUAUGGGGGCCAUCUAAAGUGCCUUCGAGAGGUGGAGCUAAUUAUAUGCUAACUUUUAUUGAUGAUAUUUCCAGAAAAGUGUGUGCAUUCUUCCUGAAGCAGAAAAACGAUGUGUUUUCUGCAUUUAAGUCUUGGAAAACCAUGAUUGAAAAACAGACGGGAAAGUAAAUAAAAUAUCUCCGUACAGACAAUGACUUAGAGUUCUGUUCUGAUGAGUUUAAUAAACUAUGUAAGUCAGAAGGGAUCAUGAGACACUUGACAGUUUGUCAUACUCCACAGCAAAACAGCGUUGUAGAACGAAUGAACAAAACGAUCAUGGAGACAGUUCGAUGUAUGUUGUCAAAUGCCAACUUGCCAAAGUCAUUUUGGGCCGAAGCAGCCUCUAUUACAUAUUUUUUGAUCAACCGAUCUCCAUCCGUUACCAUUGAGAAAAAGACUCCACAAGAGGUAUGGUCUGGUAAUCCUACUGAAUAUUUUGAUUUAAAGAUUUUUCAUUGUCUUACGUAUGCUCAUCUUGAUAAUGGAAAAUUGGAACCGAGAUCCAUUAAAUGUGUUUUUCUUAAAGUUGUGAUUAGCAGAGAUGUUGUUUUUGAUGAAACUACUAUGCUACCUAACUUAUCUCUUAAAGACUCUUCCAAUAAAAAAAUUAAAAGCAGGUGGAGCAUCAGAUUAAUACAUAAUCUACAACAGAGUCGACUACUGAAGCGAGUACAAAAAUUCAAAAUAGAGUUACUUCUUCACCACAAUAAACCUCCAAAGAAGUAUGCCAAGGCUGAUCUAGUUACUUAUGCUUUAAAUGUGGCUGAAGAUAUAGAUGCAAAUCAAGAGCCAUCUAAUUAUUCUGAGGCGGUUAGUUGUGAAGACUCAGAAAAGUGGAUGUUUGCUAUGUAAGAGGAGAUGGAAUCAUUACACAAAAAUAAACAUGGGAUCUUGUGAAACUUUCUAAAGGUAAAAAGGUUGUUCGUUGUAAAUGGGUGUUUAAGAAGAAAGAAGGGACUCCAAGAGUUGAAGAACCCAGAUAUAAAGCAAGACUUGUUGCAAAGGGUUACAGUCAAAUUCUAGGAGUGGACUUCACAUAUGUGUUCUCUCCAGUUGUGAAGCAUAGUUCGAUUCGAGUUUUGCUUGGUAUAGUGGCCAUGCAUGAUUUGGAGCUUGAACAGUUAGAUGUAAAAACUGCACUUUUGCAUGGAGAACUUGAGGAGGAUAUUUACAUGCAAUAGCCAGAGGGUUUUACAGUCUCAAAAAAAGAGGACUAUGUUUGCUUGCUGAAAAAGUCCCUUUACAAUUUGAAACAGUCACCAAGACAAUGGUAUAAGAGGUUUGAUUCUUUUAUAACUUCUCAUGAUUUAAAAAGAAGUAGCUUUAACAGUUGUGUUUACUUUAAGAAAAAUAGUGCUAGUUCUUUUGUGUAUCUACUCCUUUAUGUUGAUGACAUGUUGAUAGCAGCGAAAGAUAAAGGAGAGAUAAGAAAGGUCAAAGCCCAACUAAGUGAAGAAUUUGAGAUGAAAGAUUUGGGACCAGCAAAGAAGAUACUUGGUAUGGAGAUUCUCAGAGAUAGAAAAGUAAGUAAAUUGUACCUAAGUCAAAAGGGGUACAUUGAGAAAGUUCUUUGCAGAUUCAAUAUGCAGAAUGCUAAGCUUGUUAAUACUCUUUUAGCAGCCCAUUUCAGACUUUCAUAUCGGUUUUGUCUCCAUAAUCAGAUGAUGAGAUUGAGUACAUGUCACAUGUUCCAUACUCUAGUGUAGUGUGAUCUCUCAUAUAUGCCAUGGUUUGUUCACGUUCAGAUUUAUCAUAUGCAGGUAGUGCAGUUAGCAGAUACAUCGCGAAUCCCGGUAAAGAACAUUGAAAAGCAGUUCAGAGGGUUUUAAGAUACUUACAAGGUACUAUCGAUGUUUGCUUACAGUUUGGAAGAACUAGAGAUGGAGUCAUUGGGUAUGUUGAUGUUGAUUUUGCUGGAGACCUCGAUAGAUGAAAAUCUCUCACAAGUUAUGUCUUUACAAUCGAAGGUUGUGCAAUCAGUUGGAAAGCCACUUUGCAAACUAUAGUCACUUUAUCUACCACUGAAGCUGAGUACAUGGCGAUUACUGAGGCUUGUAAAGAAGCUAUUUGGUUGAAGGGACUCUUUAGUGAACUCAAUUAAAACCUUCAAAUCAAUACAAUAUUUUGUGACAGUCAGAGUGCCAUCUUCCUUACAAAAGAUCAAAUGUUUCAUGAGAGAACAAAACACAUUGAUGUUCGGUAUCAUUUCAUUCGUGAUAUUAUUGCUCGUGGUGAUAUUGUUGUGAGCAAAAUUAGUACUCAUGAAAAUCCUGCAGAUAUGAUGACUAAGUCACUUCCCGGGCUCGGCCCGGCCCAAAUAUAUAAUAAAUAUUUAUUUUUUAUUUUUUUAAUUUUAAAAUAUUUUAAAAUACUUUUUUAUUUUUUAUUUUUAAAAUAAAUUUUUGGUGUUUAUUAAAAAUGGGCCGGGCCAGGCUUGGGAUUAAGAAUUUUUUCCCAGGCCGGGCCUGGAUAAAAUUUCAGGCCCAUAUUUCGGGCUAGGCCUUGCCCGGGCCUAAGACGCGGGCCAAAAUUUUUUUCUAGGCCCGGCCCAUAAGAACCUCUAAAUAUAUAUAUAGUCUUGAUGUUUAUCAAUAAAAUUUAAGAAAUUACCCUAUCCUUGUCAGAAAGAGUUUAUUUUUAAAAUUUUAUGAGAGUGAAGUUACAACAAGGGUGAACAAGCUUAAGCUUAAAUCAUAUUUUAUGUUGUUAAGACUAUAAUGAAUUAUUUAGUAGACAUGACCUCAUAAACAUAAAAUUGAAUCUAAACUACGUAAUCAAUUAAUUUUAUUCAUCAUUUUACUUCUCCAUUACUUUUUUAAUUUUUAGUGUUUUCUUAACUUGCAACUAACAUACAGCUUAACCCACUACACCAAAACAGGUCUUUAGCGGCGUUUUUUUAACAGGUCUUUAGCAGCGUUUUUUAGGCAUUUAGCGGCGCUUUUUACCGCCACUAAAGGUAUUUGCGGCGCUUCCAAAAGCGCCGCAAAAAAGGCCGCUAACGAAAACGUCGCUAACGUUUGCAGCGUUUACAAACAAAAACGCCGCUAAAGAACAUGAUCUUUAGCAGCGUUUUUUUCUAAGCGCCGCCAAAGAACAUGUUCUUUCGCGGCGUUUUUUAUGAAGCACCGCUACAGAACAUGUUCUUUAGUGGCGAUUUUUAUUAAGCGCCGCUAAAGAACAUAAUCCUUAGCGACGCUUUGUAAAAAACGCCACUAUUUUUGAGAUUUUUUUAUAUUAAAUUUUUCAUUUCUUCAGCCCUCCUGUAGCAACAAAUCAAAAGCAACCAGAUCUAAACCAGCCAAAAGCAAUAAAUUUAUAUAAUAUUUCAAAUUAAACGAAUAAAAUAAUAUUAAUAUCAAUAAAUAAAAGUGAAUUCAUAUUAUUUUUGCAAAAAUGUUAAAAGUUAAAAUGAUAAAAAUAUUUAUGCAAUACACUAUGACGGCGGAAGUUGCGACUGAAACAUCUUCAUCAUACUCUGAAGCUGCUGCUGGAGUUCGUCGUACUUUCUGCUCUGCUCUGUUUCUCUCGCUGCAGCCUCUGCUUUAAGUUGUAACUGGAGUUCUUCAUAUUUCUUUUGAACCUCUGCUUCUCUCGCUGCAGCCUCUGUUUCCCUUGCUGCCGCAUCUACUUUAAGUUGUAGCUGGAGUUCUUCAUAUUUCCUUUGAACCUCAACUGUGGUCGCUUGCAUCUGAGUCAUCUGGUCUUUUAACCUCUGAACGUCAGCUUGAGCCUGACUUCCCGAAGCCAUGUAUUGUUGCGAGCUGGAUCCAAAAUAUUGGGUUUGGAUAACAAAAUAUCCUUGAAAUCGAACCCGACCAUACCUUUUAGGACCCAAAACUUCAGUAAUAAUCCGGUUAUCAAUGUCUUCAGGAUGAACAGAACUAUCACUAGAAAAUAUCACUUCGUACUCCGCCUUUUUAUCCUUUAGUUUUUCCUAAUAAAUAAAUCACAUAGUUAGGAACGCAAUAUAUAUUAAAAAAACAUAUGCAACAUAACAAUAGUCGCAUUACAAGAAAUGAAUUAAACCAUUAGAAAACAAACACUAUAAAUAACUAAAACAAGUCAAAUCGUAUUAAGUAAACUUACUAUUAUUUCACCAGCUUCAGGAGUCAUGGGAGAUCCAUCUUUCUUCCUAUGUGUAAUUUCAAAAAGUUGAAGGCAUCCAACUUUUUGACCGAACGACAGUUCCUACAAUAUAGUAGUAAAAAUAUUAUUUCAUGGAAAGUUAUACAUAUUUUACAAUAUUAAAAAAUUAAAAUACCUCCGCCUCAGCUACACAUGCAAAACUUCUCGACCCGGCUGUGUGAGUGAAUUUCUAUUUCUGCCUGUUGCUUUUUUCAACUAGUUCACGAUCCUACAUUAUGAAAUUUUUAGUACGUAAAUAUUAAAUACUAUAAACCAAAAUAAUUACAAUAGUUUGGAAGUACGUCAUACCUCGCCUUUCUUCGAAUGCCAAAAUCUAACCGUAUCUUCCCAUUGGUACCUCAACAUACCCGGCGGGACAUUUUGCAAUUUCUCAUCGAGGGUUGUUUUUGUCUUAUAAUAAUUUUUCUUCAAAGUACUUUUAUGGUCUCUCUAUCUUUUUCCCAAUGCCUUCUUUACAUAAGCAUCCGAGACAUCUAAAGCAAACCUCGCCUACAAAAAACACGAGUUAAUAAAGUAAAUAUAAAUGAAACUAUUUCCCAAGUAUUACAGAUGACAUUAACAUUUUGUUACCUUAAUAUUAUCGAGGGCUUGGUUUUUUUUGCUAUCGGGCAUUUGAUGCCAUGACUCGUAGUUAAUAGGCAACAUAUUCGUAUUUCGUGCUAAAAUGCCCAUGUAUCCUGCUAAAAGUCGAGCUUCUGAUCCAACAGGCUGACCAAAACUGUUUCGUCCAACUUUGACACGCUCGACCGGAUCUAACUCGUAUAACUAUUUAAGUAGUGUGCGUCCUCGACCUCUGCGCGUCCCACCAUUUUCAGCUACAAAUGGUAAAUUAUAAUAUAAGAAUUUGAAAAAUAAAUCAAUUACAUUUCAACACGCAUGUAAAUUAAAUGUAAAAUUACUUUGAACUUCUGUAGGAUCCUCAGGUGUAAUCAGAACAUUCGAAGAUCUAAUUGCUGUCUGUUGUUCAGUAUUAUUUGUUUCUGUCGAGUUUGGAUCAUUUUGAACAAUGCUUCCCCUUAGAAUUUUUCUUUUAGGCAUUUUAUCUGCAAUACACAUAAAAUAGUUGAAAACUUAAUAACUAAUUACAACAAUAACAACACAUAUAAAAUAGUUGAAAUCUAUAAUAAGACCAAGAUUUAAAUUAUGAUAUUACAUAUAAUUAUACAAUCGUAAAAUCUUACUACAUCAUUAUUCGUAAAUAUCUUCAUCUGUAUCCUGACGAACCCAUUAAAAUUGUGCACUAGUGCUAGGGAUAUUAUCGUUUAAGUUUUGUUCUGGAAAGGGCAAAGUUUCUGAUCUGUCGUCAAUGUUAUCUCUACUUCCACUGCCCAUGUCAAACAAGUCUCUAGGGAUGUUAUGAAGUACAACGUACCAACCCUCAUCAGUUGGAUCUUUUGAGUAAAAAACUUGUCUGACUUGAGAUGAGAAUACAUACGGCUCAUCUAUCAGUUGUUGUCCUGUGUGAAUCAAUCGGGCGAAGUUCACCAUUGUAAAAUCAAAUUGAUCUUGCUUAAUUCCACGAGCAGUAUUAACAUCGGCCCAGUCGCCUCGAAAUAAGACAACUUUCCAUUUGCCAUAGUAAUCCAACUCAAUUAUGUCAGUAAGAAGUCCGAAAUAUUCCACAUUUCCCUCGACAGGAUUAUUGUCCCUAGCACUAGCAUAACUUGUAAUUGAGGAUAUACAACUAUUCCACAAUUUUGCGUUCUCCUCAACCUUUCGCGAUAUUUUGUAUGAAAUCUGAUUCCGUUGAUAAGGAACACACUAUAUCUUUUAACCACUCGAUCUGAACCUUGGGAGAGCCAUUUAAUUUCGUCGUUUACGUUCUUCCCACUCUGAACCUAUUGAAUGGAAAGUAAACUGAGUAAUUAAAAAUGUUAUGAGAAAACAUUAUUAUUUGUAAGCGGAAGCUCCAACUGCAUACCGUUUCGCUUAACCAUUCAUAAAAAGAUUCUGUGAACAACUUAUUGAUAUCUCGAUGUUGUGUUCUUCGGGAGCUCGAACGAGAUCUCAAUAUUUGUUUGUACUCACUAUGUUAAAAAAAAUGUUCACUUUGUUAGAAGAUAAACAAUUUUUAAUUUGAUAAAUAUUUAUCAAUUUUGUAGAACUUACUUCCGUAAAUGUUCAAUUGACUCAUGGUGAAACAGAACAUAUCGAUGUGCUUGUACCCACGAUAAAUGAUCUAAUUUUGCAAUUUCAACUUUGCCGAUUGGUGUUCCAAAACUUUGGAACAAAUAAGUAUCGGCGAAGUUAUGGUCCGUGAGUCCAGCAUUCCUAUUUGGUCUGUUCAACCUUGUUUCAACAUCUUCCAAAUAUCUUGAACAGAAGGUCAUACAUUCCUCUACCAAGUAGUCUUCAGCAAUCGAUCCUUCUGGAUAUCGCUUGUUGCGGCAGUAAGACUUUAAUUUGGAUAAGAACCUAAACACGAUAUAUAACAUUAUCAAAAGUUGUAACUAAAGGCAUAGAGGUGAAUGAAGGAAAAUUUUAAAAAAUUUAAUUAAUACAUUUCUAUGGGAUACAUCCAUCGAUAGAAAAUGGGUCCGCCAAGAAUUGCUUCAUGGGGGAGAUGGAUUAUCAAGUGAACCAUAAUGGUGAGGAAGGAAGGUGGGAAGAUUUUCUCCAUGUUGCAUAAAGUCAAAACGGCUUGAUCCUGUACCUUCUGAAGUUCUUGAACAUCCAAAACUUUGCCACAAAUGGCUUUCAUUAUAUUGGAUAGUUUAAUUAUACAAGACGUUAUCUUCUUGGACAUACAACAUCGUAGAGCAACUGGUAGUAAAUCUUGCAUCAAGAUGUGAUAGUCAUGUGAUUUUAGCGAAUAUAAUCUUCGAUCUUUAACACUAACACAUCAAGAUAUAUUUGAUGCAUACGCAUCUGGAACCUUUAUAUCCUUCAGCACCAUGCAAAACAGUUCUUUCUCCGUCUUAGACAUUGAGAAAAUAGAAGGCGGCAACCGAUAUUUCCCAUUCGGAAGUGAAUUGGGAUGAAGAUCUGGCCGAAUUCCCAUUCAGGCUAAAUCAAGUCGACUCUGAAGAUUGUCUUUUGAUUUUUCGUCGACAUUCAAAAUUUUACCCACAAUGUUCUCACAGACAUUUUUCUCAAUGUGCAUAACAUCAAGAUUGUGUUGUAAAAGGUGAUGCUCCCAAUAAGGCAACUCAAAAAAAAUACUUCUUUUUUUCCUCAAGUCCACCUCAUUAGGAUCGUCCUCUUCAUCGGAGUCAUCAUCAGCUUCAUCAUUUGAUCUUCUGCUUCUUUGCGUGUUUGGCGGUUGGUUCAUCUUCCCAUAAAUGAAAUUCAUAUCUUCCAACAUGAACAAGAUUUCAAAGCCACUGGUCUGCGAAGGAACUUCUCUGAACUCUUCAGUGCCGUCAAAUACAGAACUCUGAAAUCUAAAUCUAUAAUUUUCCGGUAACCACCGACGAUACCCCAUGUAAGAGAACUUCUUCCUAUUGUACAACCAUUGCGAACAUGUUUGUGCAGCACAACAAGGACACGCAUAAUGACCCUUAGUACUCCAACCGGAUAAAUUGGCAUAAGCGGGAAAGUCAUUAAUGGUCCACAUCAAAGCUGCACGUAAAUUAAAGUUCUCCUUUCUCAGCACAUCGUAUGUCUCGACACCAGCCCAUAAUUGUUUUAACUCUUCAAUAAGUGGCUGUAAAUAAAUGUCGAUAUCAUUCCCGGGCCCUUUCUCCCCAGGGAUAAUCAUAGGUAAGAUAAGGGAAGAUUGCUUCAUGCAAAUCCACGGAGGCAGAUUGUAAGGAACAAGCACUACUGGCCAAGUACUAUACGCAGUGCUCAUGAUCUUGAAAGGAUUAAAUCCAUCAGAUGCUAGCCCAAGCCUCACACUCCUAGGAUCGCUUGCAAAGCUUGGAAAUUUAUUGUCAAAUGAUUUCCAAGCUAAAGAAUCUGCUGGAUGCCUUAAUAAUCCAUCAUCGGUUCGUCCAUCAUGGUGCCACGUCAUAGACUCCGCUAUCUUCGACGACAUGAAAAGCCUUUGAAGCCUUGGUGUCAGCGGAAAAUACCGUAAAAUCUUGACUGGCUUCUUUCUUGACUGUGCAUCAUUUUCAUUGUCGUUCCCAUCUUCUGCGUUUUUACUUAUCCAACGGGAGUGGCCGCAUACAUGACAGCACUGUUGGCUUCUCCGAUCGCCCCAAUACAACAUGCAGUCAUUUGGGCAACUAUGGAUUUUGUUGUACCCAAGGCCUAAAUCUUUUAUCAUUUUCUUCAUAUCUUUGCAUGACUGAGGGAUUUUUGCAAACGGAAACAUUUCUCUCAAAAACUCUAACAGCAUUGUCAAAGAGUUUUCAGUCCACCCUCCCAAACAUUUUAAUUGAAAAAGACGAACACAGAAAGACAUUUUUGAAAAUUUUGAUCCCUCAUACAGUUCUUCGUUCAUGUCAUUAAGAAGCACGUAGAACUUCGCCGCUUCUUCAUUCGGCUCUUCAUGAGGUACACUACUUCCCUGUUCGAUAAAAGCAUUUCUCCCAAUAUUACAAUCAUUAGAAGCCACAAAGUCCACUGGGAUCGACUGGACACCAUGAUUGUGCAUAUUAAAUGCAUCCCGCAACAUACCUUCCAUGUCAUCCCCUCUAUCAGACUGAUGGUAAGCAGUACCAGAAUAAGAUACAUCCAUCCUUGAAGAGGAAGUACUAGGCGGGCAUUCUCCAUGAAAUAACCAUUGUUUAUAACCCCGAACAAACCCAUCAACAAUUAGAUGCUCGUACACAACCUCACGAUAAUGCCAGUUUAUGUUCACAAAAUUCUUACAGGGGCAAAGAAUCAUGUUCUCUUGGCUUGCAUAUUGAAAUGCAAAAUUUAGAAAUGUCUGUACUCCAUUUCGAUAAUCGUUGCUUACCCUUGACAAAUUCAUCCAAGACCGGUCCAUUUCUUAAUUCUUAAAGUCUGAUCUUGACAAUAAAUUGCACGGGUUUAGGAUUUAAGAAUAAGUAUAAUUAAGCUAUGUAAGUUAUGUAAGUUAUGUAUUAUGUAAGUUAUGCAUUAAGUUAUUUAUUAUGAAAAUUAUGUAAGUUAUGUAUUAUGAAUAUUAUGUAAGUUGUGAAUUAUGUUAGUGCUGUAUUAUGAUCAAUUAUGUAAGUUAUGUAUUAUGAAAAUUAUGUAAGCUGUGUAUUGUAUAAGUUAUGUAAGUUAUGUAAGUUUUUUAUUAUGAAAAAUAAGUAACUUAUGUAUUAUGAAAAUUAUGUAAGUUCAAUAUUAUGUAACUUAUGUACUAUGAAAAUUAUGUAAGUUAUGUAAGUUGUGUAUUGUAUAAGUUAUUUGUAGGUUAUGAAAAUUUUGUAAGUUAUGUAAGUUAUUUUUUAUGAAAAUUAAGUAAGUUAUGUAUUAUGAAAAUUAUGUAAGUUCAAUAUUAUGUAAGUUAUGUACUAUGAAAAUUAUGUAAGUUAUGUAAGUUGUGUAUUGUAUAAGUUAUGUAGGUUACGAAAAUUUUGUAAGUUAUGUAAGUUAUUUUUUAUGAAAAUUAAGUAAGUUAUGUAUGUGUAUAAUGAAAGUUAUGUAAGUUGUGUAUGUAAGUUAUGUAAGUUAAGUAUAAUUAAGCUAUGUAAGUUAUGUAAGAUGUGAUAGUCAUGUAAUUAAGUUAUGUUUUUAAAAUAUAAACCAAUAUGGCAUUUUUCUUAAAAAAAAAACUGAACAUUAUUUAAAUAAUUUACAUUGUUAUCUUAUAUGAUAGAAAAUUUAAUUCGAAAGUGUCAAAAACCUGAACAUUAUUUAAAUAAUUUAAAUAAUAUUUUAGUUGAGUGGCAAAUAAAAAAGUUUACUAAUAUUAUUAGUUCAAGUUCAAAUCCUACAAUAUUUUUAUUUUUAUUGAUUUUUAAAUUUAGAAAAACUAAUAUAUAUUAAAAAUGGUAUAUUUACAGAGGCAAAGUCAGAAAUUUUUUUAGAAGAUCUCGAAAUUUUAAUAGUCAAAAUAUUCAUAAUUUUAAAAGGACUAAAUCAAUUUUUUAUCAUUUUUAAAAUAUAAACCAAUAUGGCAUUUUUCUUAACAAAAAAACUGAACAUUAUUUAAAUAAUUUACAUUGUUAUCUUAUAUGAUAGAAAAUUAAUUCGAAAGAGUCAAAAAACUGAACAUUAUUUAAAUAAUUUAAAUAAUAUUUUAGUUGAGUGGUAAAUUAAAAAUUUUACUAAUGUAAUUAGUUCAAGUUCAAAUCCUACAAUAUUUUUAUUUUAUUAAUUUUAAAUUAGAAAAACUAAAAUAUAUUAAAAAUGGUAUACUUUAUAGAGGCGAAGUCAGAAAUUUUUUUUAGAAGAUCUCGAAAUUUUAAUAGUCAAAUAUUCAUAAUUUUAAAAGGACUAAAUCAAUUUUUUAUCAUUUUUAAAAUAUAAACCAAUAUGGCAUUUUUCUUAACAAAAAAACUGAGCAUUAUUUAAAUAAUUUACAUUGUUAUCUUAUAUGAUAGAAAAUUUAAUUCGAAAGUGUCAAAAAACUGAACAUUAUUUAAAUAAUUUAAAUAAUAUUUUAGUUGAGUGGUAAAUUAAAAAUUUUACUAAUGUAAUUAGUUCAAGUUCAAAUCCUACAAUAUUUUUAUUUUUAUUAAUUUUUAAAUUUAGAAAAACUAAUAUAUAUUAAAAAUGGUAUAUUUACCAUGAGGCGAAGUCAGAAAUUUUUUUUAGAAGAUCUCGAAAUUUUAAUAGUCAAAAUAUUCAUAAUUUUAAAAGGACUAAAUCAAUUUUUUAUCAUUUUUAAAAUAUAAACCAAUAUGACAUUUUUGUUAACAAAAAAACUGAACAUUAUUUAAAUAUUUUACAUUGUUAUCUUAUAUGAUAGAAAAUUUAAUUCGAAAGUGCCAAAAAACUGAACAUUAUUUAAAUAAUUUAAAAUAUUCAUAAUUUUACAUUGUUAAAUCAAUUUUUUAUCAUUUUUAAAAUAUAAACCAAAAUGGCAUUUUUCUUAAUAAAAAAGGAUUAAAUCAAAUUUUUAUCAUUUUUAAGAGAAGUCGACGUGCAAUUUUAUAUUUAUUAAUUUAAAAUUUUUAAAAUCUUAAAGAGCUUAAAUAAAAAAAAUUCAUUUUAGAGAGUUGAAACUCAUCAGUUUCUUCAAUGAAUAUAAUUUCGAAUACGCUGAAAAUAUAAAUAUAGAAAUAUAAAUAAAUUGUUGCGGGUUAUAACAACUCAGAUGUUUAUAUAAACACGCUGAAAAUAUAAAUAAAUAAUAUAAUAUCAAUAAUAUUAAAUAUGCUGAAAAUAUAAAUAAAUAGUCCCAAAACCAUAUAAUUUAUUAUUGCAAAGCUGAUGAGAAGUCCAUGUAAGAAAACUUGUUUAAGAACAAAACGAACAAGGAUUAGGACAAUCAGAAUUGUCCAACCCUCUUACAUGCAGAACAAUGCAGUAUACAAAAAAACCAAUUCAGAAAACUUGACAUAAAAUAAAGCACGUCAAACUAAAUACAUAUUUCUGCCACAAUCCUUCUAAAUAAAUUUGUUAAUCAGUAACAAAUAGGAAACAUUUGCUUAAUUUCUGUUCAGUCUUUAACUAAACUGUUUUUGUUUGGUUUAUGUUUAACUGUGCAUCAUUUUUUUGUUCAGUUUUCAAAGAUUAUAAUUUAAAUCUAAACAACAUAGCUUAACAUUCAAGUGCAGAAUCUCAUAUGCUUAACAUUCAAAAUGUUUAACAUUCAAAACAUAGCUUAACAUAGCUUAACAUUCAAAACUAUGAUUAACAUUCAAAAUGUUUAACAUAGCUUAACAUAGUUUUCAAAGAUUAUAAUUUUGUUCAGUUUAUGUUUAUGUUUAACCCAAGUGAAGAAACUCAUAUGCUUAACAUUCAAAAUGUGCAAUACGAGAAGACUGAAGAAACUGUGCCAAUCAACACCAUGCUUAAAUGUGCAAUACGACAUAAAUCUAUCAACUCCACAAACUCAUAUGCUUAACUGUUGUGCCAAAACAGAAUACGAAGUAAUGUGUUUUUAAAAAUCAACAAUCCUACUAACCCUAAACACAGAGAAGACCCUAAACUUCCCAAAACCCUAAAAAUCAUUGAACACCGUCAAGAAAGCAUUGUGCGCAUUCCCAAUAUAAAAGAAAUUAAAGCAUUAUAGUACCUUGAUUGCGAUGAACAGAAAUGAAAGCCCCGAACAAACCCUAAACACAGAGAACACUCGCAUUUCAGUUCAUUCAACGGGUAAUCAACAAAUUACAAACAAUAAAUUUAACAAAAACAAGAAAAUGCAACCUUUAAAUACAAAAUAUAAUCACAAAGCAACCUAAACACAAAGCAACAUCAAAUUAACAAAUACCACAAAACCCAAUGUAUAAAAAUUCAGAAUCAGACAUUCGAACCUUAAAUGAUGGUCCUCGACGUUCUCCGUCUUAUUCGCCGCAAAUAAUGUUAAAACGUACCAACAAAUCGAAUGUAUGAAGGUUUUUUAUUGGUAUUUUUGCAAGAAAUCGAAAGAAACAAACAGGAAUAUGAAAGAGAUGAAGAAAUUGGAUGAGGGGAAUUCGAAGACCAUUCACGAAACACUUAGGGAUUUGAGUGAAGGGGAUUUGGGGCUAGGUGCGGGGAUAUACCCCAAAAUUGAUAUACAUACAAAACGACGCCAUUUAAUUUUAAUAAUUUUGUGGCGUUUAAAGAAAAACGCCACUAACGCUACAGAUUUUGCGGCUUUUUGAAAAAAAACGCCAGUACCCAAUAAACUCGUUAACGAUAUGGCGCCGUUUUUGUUCAAUUUCAAUUGUGUAUUUCCGACGUUUUGCGUAGAAACGCCAGUAGAUAUUUUCAUUUCUAAUAGAUAUUACAAUUGGAUAAAUGUUAUGACAUUAUUAAAAAUUUUAACAUUUUAUAAUGAAAUUAUCCCUUUUAUUUCAAUAAUAUUAUUUAAAAAUAUGAUACAGAUUUAAGAAAUUAUUUUUAAUUAUACAAAUUUUAAUAUUUUAUAAUAAAAUUAUCCAUUUUAAUAAAAUAAUAUUACUUAAAAAUAUGAUACAGAUUUAAGAUAUUAUUUUUAAUUAUACAAAUUUUAAUAUUUUAUAAUGAAAUUAUCCAUUUUUUUAUAAUAUUAUUUAAAAAUAUGAUACAGAUUUAAGAUAUUGUUUUUAAUUAUACAAAUUUAAUAAAUUUCUAAAUAUUCAAAUUUAUAAAUACUUAAAUACUAUCAAUAUUCAAAUUUAUAAAUAUGUUUGCGGCGUUUAUCUAAAAGCGCCACUAAAGCAAUACACUGAACCAAAAAUGAGCAUUUUCGGCUAAGGGUUGAAAUGAAAUACAGGAAUAAAAAACGACAGCGUCUUACGAGAAUGCAAGCUUGCGACGUUUUUAUCCUAGCGCCACUAAUGCCGUUAGUAGAUAAGGUAAAACGAAACCGUUUUGUUUAUACCAGAAAGAAACUUUCUGGCACUUCUACUGAAGCGCCGCUAAUGUCUACCUUUGGUGGCGCUUUUCAAAAACGCCACAAUCUGUAUACGAAAAACGGCACCGUUUUAUGUAAAACUUAAAACAUAUUUGCGGCGCUUUAAGGAAAGCGCCACUAUAGACAAUUCCAAACGACGCAGUUUCUUAACUCAUAAUACACUUUUUGCGGCGUUUACAAAAAAACGCCACCAAAAGCAAAGAACAAAACGGUCAUGUUUUGCUAACAUUUUGAGUAACAUUUGUGGCGUUUAUAAACACGCCGCUAAUUUCAUUUUUAAAUUAGAGAGAAAAUAGUAAAUAAUAAAAAAAAGGAGAGUAAUGUAUUUUUAAAAAAUAAUUACACAUUCUAAAAAAUAAAUACAUCAAUGUAUUUUUAUAUUGAAUAAAUUUAAAUAUUUUGUAUGCAAUAUAAAUAAAAAAUUAUUUUAAUUAUAUCAAUAUUUAUGUAAGCUAUUUUACAAUAUCUGGAUCAAACUAAUUAAAAGUUAAUGUAUACAAUUGAACAAUAAAACAUUGUUCAUGUGUGCUUUUGGGAUUUAACCCAUUUUGAUAUAUUUUUGUAAAUAUUAAUUUAUAUUUAUAUUUAUAUUAUUUACAUUUAUAUUCUAAAAUAUCCAAGAUUAAACACAAAUUCCUAAACCCUAAAGUGGAAACCCUAAAACCAUCUAUAAUAGGCUAUUUUUGCCCGGGCCCAAAUAAAUACAUAAUCCAUUUUUACAAAUAACCUAAACCCAUUAACCAAUUGAACCCAAUAAAGACCAAACCAUUAACCCUAGCCCAAUUACAGAGUGGCCCAAAAAGUUCAAAGAUCAGCAGAAACCCCAGGCAGUUUUCCCAACGCCGCACACGUCCUCAUGUCGCAGCAACUGUCCCGUUGCUCCACGUUCUUGCUCGCACGUCCAGUAGCCCCGCACAACGCACGUUUUCCAUACACAUGCAACAAACAAUCGAUAAUGGCAGAAAAUAUGACAAAAAUGUAAAUGGGGGGAAGUUUUCGAGGGCUUGUUUUUUUGAUUCGACUAUAUAAAGGCCAAUCGAUCUUUGUAAUGGGGAGCAAAAUUUUUUUUUGUACCGAAAUCAAAAAGAAAAUAUACAGAAAAAUAUUUUUGAAGGUGGGAUUUGGUUUUAUUUUUCUCUGUUCCUUUACUGUUUUUUUUCAAUUUAUUUUAGUUAUUUUCUUUUGCUUCUAAAAAACAACAAAUAAACAAAACGAGGAAGGGAGUAAAGGGAACUUACCGGUGUGGCGUCGUUGAAGCUCCUUUGUUUCAUCGCCAUAGGAGCAGAGGAGGGCAGAAGGAGAACAUUACGGCGCAAUGUCAAAGAAAGAAAGAAAAUGUUCUUUUUAGGG